rnacentral:lncRNA from 1 species
GCUUCCCUUCUUAAAUAUUUGGAGCUCCCAUACCACCCACCUUGGCGGAUGGUCGGCAGAUGGUCAUCCAACUCUAGAAUUCUAAAAACUCAAGGGGCACGAGGUUCCACCAGAUGUCAAGAUGAAAUCUCGGAGGUCAAAGCACAAGCCAUGGAUUCACGCCCAAGAUUUCCGGAGGUCAAUGUGCAUGUGAUGGAGGCCUCACAAGGAAACAAAUCAAGGAGAUUGAUGAUAAUUCAGCAUAUUCCAAAACAUGAGAGAAUCAAGCGAUCAGAAUAUUUCCACCAAUGUGAUCCCACGAAUUCAAAGGGCUUCAAAAGGAAAGAGUUUAUAAAGAGUUGACAUUUGGCCAAUCAAUGGCCAGCCUAUGGGCUGACGGAAGCCCUAUAUAAACCUCACCAAACGAAGGCAGAAGACACACAACAUCAGACAAACAAACCUACUUUUCGUCUUGCACUUUUUUUUUUUCCUAGACUUAGGAUUUUACUUUUCAACCAACUAGUGUAGUGAGUUCUCCCUUUUUCUAGUGCAAGUUUAUAUUUUUCUUGUCAUUUAAAUUCUUGUUCGAUUUACAUUUCUUGUCAUUAACUUCAAGUUUAUUUUGAUUCCUUUACAUUUCAUUGUCAUCGCACUUCAAUUAAGUUUAAUUUCAAGUUUGUUUAUUUUAUUGUUCUUAUCGCUUUCAUUUUGUUCUUGCUUUAUUUAUUACUUUGAUUCAUUUUAUCGCACUUCAAUUCUGAUCUUUACGUUUAUACGCAUAUUUAGUUUAAUUGCAUUAUUUUUUACUUAAAACCCUAAAAAUCACAAAAAUAUCCAUACGAAACCUAACAAUCCUCGAGCCCGAGGAAGUUAAAGAAUCUAAGCCAAGAGGAGGUUCCUUACUUGGCCGAUCAAUCGUUUGAUCAGAAGUUAGAAGCACAACACAUCCAUCUACUCACAUUCCAUUCAAGUCCAAAUUCGGGAUUUGGUAGUGGCACCCCCCCGCAUUCAAAAGAAGAGGCCGUCUCAGCCGAAAAGAGGGAAAUGGCACCCCCCGCAUUCAAAAGAAGAGGCCGUCUCAGCCGAAAAGAGGGAAACACCCUUGCCCAUGCAAUUCAUAAUGGGUGGUGCAAGAUUUGUGUGGAAUGGGACUCUAAAUUGGUUAUUGAUUUCAUCAACAAGGUGGUCUCUAUUCCUUGGAGUAUUUUAUUGUUAGUUCAAGAUAUUUAGCUACUGGCUUCAUCUUGUGAAGAAGUUUUGUUUAUUCAUGUCUUUCGAGAAGUCAAUUUUACGGCAGAUGCUGUUGCUGACUUAGGCCAUGGCCUCUCCACUUUCCGUGUGUGGGAGCAUGGUCUGCCGCUGAACUGUUCUUUUCCUUUUUAUUUUGAUUCAUUUAGGCAUGCGCCCUCGUUUCCGUUUGUGAUUGUUCUUAUUUCUCCAUAAAAAAAUAAACAAAACUUUAGUUGGGUCGGAUUUAUGCACAUUACAAUAAUCAGGUACCAAAUUGAUGCAAAUGAAAGUUCGUGUACUAAAUAAAAUAUCAUGUUUGGACCUUGUUUCUGUAUGAUUGACUGAGCUUGAGAAUUAUGGAAAUUUCAAUAAUUGUAUAUUUGUUUUUGGUCAAUCGAACAGAUUGCGGAAUUGAGGAAUUUGCUGCUACAUGUGAAUGUGCGUUGUGUUUAUGCCAAAGUGCAGGUAUUUGGGUAUGACUGGAAUCAAAAGCAUUGCUACUUUUUGUUGGCGUGACUUGUGGAUAUUGACUUACUUUCCUUACACACCAAGAAUUCCUAUUAUAAUUGUAAUUGAUUUACUUUAAUUCCUGAUUUCCUACUGUAAAUAGAUUUAGGAAUUUAUUAUUUACUUGCCCAUUCAGGUUUCGUUGUAUUAUAAAUAUGACCUCCUACAAGGAGAAGAAUACACAGAAAAUUCCUACAAAAAUAUUCUCUCAUAGUUUUCAUAUUUUAGCAUGGUAUCAGAGCGGCGAUCUUGGAAUUGCUGACUCUAGUUUCAAAACUCCGCCGCCGUUAUGAGGGUUGAUGAUUUUUUCAACCCUCAUGGAGGUAGCACCACCGACUCCUUCUCUCAUUCUCAACCAACCAUCAUUGAGUUGAGUGCCCAGAUGGCUCCGCCCCUACAGAUGCAGACUUUGACCCCGAACCCGAUCCAGAAUUAGGAUCCUUUUUUGACGACCCCGACCCCGACCCCGACUAUGACGACGACGACCCCGACCCCGACUCCGAAGACGACCCCGACCCGCACUCCGAUGAUGACCCCAACCCCGAAUUUGUCUAUGAUUCAGACCCCGAUCCAGAAUCAGGAUCUUCUUUUGACGACCCCGACCCCGACCCCGACUAUGACGAUGACGACCCUGACCCCGACUCCGAAGACGACCACGACCCCUACUUCGAUGAUGACCCCAACCUCGAAUUUGUCUAUGAUUCAGACCCCGAUUCCGAUUUCGACUCCGACUCCGGCCCCGACUCAUGCUCAGAUUCCGAUCCAAAUUCCUACUCAACCUGUAUCCUAUGCUUCUUUCGCUGCACAGCUUAUGACUUCUAGACUAACGACCCCGACACAUGGACCAAAUUGCGCAUAUUGUGGUGAUCCGAGACACACUUGUGAGACUUGUUUUACAUCGCAUGGCUACCCCGAUUGGUGGGCUACUCCUACAGAUCGAGGACAAUGCAAUAUGACCAGUAAUGGUACUGGUUAUGGAUUCCAUACUUCCGAUAAGAUUGAUUCCAAGAGCUGGAUAAUUGAUUCUGGUGCAACUGAUCAUAUGACGUUUGAUCCUAAUGAUUUUCUGAAUACUACACAACCUCGACGAACCUGUAUUGCAAAUGCCAAUGGUGUUACUUAUCCUGUGACAGGGGCUGGCACUGUUGCACUCUCAUCCUCUCUCACACUGUCUAAUACUUUACUUGUUCCAUCUUUAUCCACUAAAUUGUUGUCAGUUAGUCAGCUUACUGAACAAUUGAAUUGUUGUGUACUCAUUUACCCGAGUUUUUGUUUGCUUCAGGAUAUUCACACUAAGGAGAUUCUUGGUCGUGGUACUAAGAGAGGGGGGCUAUAUUAUGUCGAUGACUUCAGUCCCGGUGUGGCUAACAGUGUGACACAUUCCUUUGAUAGCAAACAAAAGCAAAUUUGGUUGUGGCAUCGUCGAUUGGGACAUCCGUCUUUUAGUUAUAUGAAGCAUCUUAUACCAGAUUUAUUCUCAGGUUUCAAAGACUCCGACUUCACAUGUGAUACUUGUAUUUUGGCCAAGAGUCACCGUGUGCCCUACCCGUUGAGUACGAACAAGUGUACUACUCCAUUUACAUUAAUUCACUCUGAUGUCUGGGGACCUUCGCCUAUCACUGCUCCUUCUGGUGUUCGAUGGUUUGUCACAUUCAUCGAUGAUUGUACACGGAUGACAUGGCUUUAUUUGCUGAAGAAUAAAAACGAGGUGUUUUCCCGUUUUCAGUCCUUCCACAAACAGAUGAAAACUCAAUUUAAUGCUCAAAUCCAGAUUCUUCGCUCCGACAAUGGUGGAGAAUUUGUCAAUCAUGACUUUCAGACUUACUUCCAACAACAUGGAAUUAUCCAUGAGACGACUUGUCCUCAGACACCGCAACAAAAUGGUGUUGCUGAACGAAAGAAUCGACAUCUUCUUGAAACCGCCCGAGCACUUCUGAUUGGCGCUCAUGUUCCUCGCCAUCACUGGGAUGAUGCUAUUGUCACUGCAGUUCACCUGAUCAACCGCAUGCCUUCUGGUGUAUUGACCUUUAAAACUCCUUUACAGGUGCUUGCGCAACACAGACAUCUACCCUCUGUUUUGGUACUCACACCCCGAAUCUUUGGAUGCGUGGCUUUCGUUCAUCUCCACAAAAAUCAACGUAGCAAACUUGAUCCCUGUGCGCUUCGUUGUGUUUUUGUGGGUUAUGCCACUCAUCAGAAAGGUUACCGCUGUUAUCACCCUCCUACCCAACGAACCUAUGUCACUUUGGAUGUGACUUUUCUGGAAUCUGAGCUGUUCUUUCAUGACCCAUCAUCCAAUUCUGCGCUUCAGGGGGAGAUACGAAGUGAAGAACAGAAUUGGAGCAACUUGGCAAACAAAGAAAUUCUCCCAUGUACAGAAAUGAUUGAUCAUCCCGAGUCUGGAGCACGAGAUUACUCUCUGUUGAAAAGUGACCAAUCGCCCAUUCAUAGCGAUCAAUUGCCUGACCCACCUGAUCCAUGCGAAGAUAUUUCUGAUCCGAGUCCCACACCUACAGACAAUACAGAACAACAAGAUGAAGACCCCCCUUCUAACUCAACAGUACCAACAGACCAAUCUCCUGAGAAUAUCCUUGAGGUAACUACUCCUACUAGACUUGUGCAUUUAGAUGAUAAAACUAUUGGAUAUCAAUUACCUUUCAGGCAAAAUCGUGGGAAGCCACCAAACCGUUAUUCACCGGAUAUUGGCAAGACAUCCAAGUAUCCAAUUGCAAAUCAUGUAUCCACUGAGAAGCUGUCUGAACCACUCAAGGCUUUUGUGCAUCAGUUGUCUGCUAUCCAUAUUCCAACCAAGGUCUCUGAAGCAUUGAAAGAUCCUAAGUGGGUCCAAGCUAUAAAAGAGGAGAUGAAAGCUCUUGAGAAAAAUCAGACUUGGACAUUAGAGACUAUACCACGAGGAAAAAAGACUAUCGGAUGUAGAUGGGUGUUUACUAUAAAACACAAUGCAGAUGGAUCUAUCGAGCGAUACAAGGCAAGACUUGUGGCAAAAGGGUACACACAGACCUAUGGUAUAGACUAUGAAGAAACUUUUGCACCAGUUGCAAAGUUAAACACCGUCAGAGUCUUAUUGUCCCUUGCAGCUAAUUUGGAUUGGCCACUACACCAGUUUGAUGUAAAGAAUGCUUUUCUACAUGGUGAACUCACAGAGGAGGUGUACAUGGAUAUUCCUCCUGGAUAUAAUACUACUCAGACUGGAACAGUUUGCAGGUUACGAAAAGCAUUGUAUGGAUUGAAACAGUCACCACGUGCAUGGUUUGAACGGUUCACCAUGGCAAUGAAGAACAAUGGUUUCAAACAGUGCAACUCAGAUCAUACUCUGUUCUUGAAACAUCAAAAAGGGAAGGUAACAGCAUUAAUAAUCUAUGUUGAUGAUAUGAUUAUUACUGGGAAUGAUAAACAGGAAAUAUCACAGCUACAAGACUAUCUGGCUACGGAGUUUGAGAUGAAGGAUCUAGGUGGACUCAAGUAUUUCUUGGGAAUUGAGGUGGCUCGAUCGCAGCAAGGCAUAUUUCUCUCUCAAAGGAAAUAUGUCUUAGACUUGUUGACAGACACAGGAAUGCUAGAUUGUAAACCUGCGGACACUCCUAUUGUUCAGAAUCAUCAUCUUGGAGAAUAUCCGGAUCAAGUGCCAACUAACAAAGAAAGAUACCAAAGGUUAGUGGGAAGAUUGAUCUAUUUGUCACAUACUCGACCAGACAUUGCUUAUGCGGUGAGCGUUGUCAGUCAAUUUAUGCACUCUCCAAGUGAAGACCACAUGAAUGCAGUUCUUCGGAUACUUAGAUAUUUGAAGUCUGCACCUGGAAAAGGACUUAUGUUCUCAAAGCAUGGUCAUCUAAAUAUUGAUGGUUAUUCAGAUGCAGAUUGGGCAGGUAAUGUAACAGAUAGAAAAUCCACAUCGGGUUACUUCACAUUCGUGGGAGGUAAUUUGGUGACAUGGAGGAGCAAGAAACAAAAUGUAGUAACUUUAUCCAGUGCAGAAGCCGAGUUCAGAGGCAUGACUAAAGGGAUUUGUGAACUUCUUUGGUUAAGAAAGUUGCUUAUUGAACUCGGGUAUAAACCUACAUCCACAAUGAAUCUCUUUUGUGACAACAAGGCUGCUAUAGCCAUUGCACAGAAUCCGGUUCAGCAUGAUCGUACUAAACAUGUUGAGGUAGAUCGACACUUCAUCAAACAGAAGCUUGAGGCUAAAGUGUUUCAGUUUCCUUUUGUGAAAUCCGAGGAUCAAUUGGCGGAUAUUUUGACAAAGGCGAUUUCCAGUAAAGCAUUCCACAAUUCACUGGAUCAGUUGGGCAUUGGCGACAUCUAUGCACCAACGUGAGGGGGAGUGUUGGCGUGACUUGUGGAUAUUGACUUACUUUCCUUACACACCAAGAAUUCCUAUUAUAAUUGUAAUUGAUUUACUUUAAUUCCUGAUUUCCUACUGUAAAUAGAUUUAGGAAUUUAUUAUUUACUUGCCCAUUCAGGUUUCGUUGUAUUAUAAAUAUGACCUCCUACAAGGAGAAGAAUACACAGAAAAUUCCUACAAAAAAUAUUCUCUCAUAGUUUUCAUAUUUUAGCACUUUUCACUUUUGGAACAAGGGCUUCUGGGCAGUGCUUAUCAGCCAUAGUAAUGAGAAAUUCUUUGGUCUGGUGGGUGGACCAUGUCACCGGUUUGGCCACAGACAAGUAAGGGUCACUCUCUACAUUAGGGUAGGACUAGUUUGGGGUCAUGGUUGUACGGGUGACAUCAUCAAUUCACCGGACCAAAGAAUUUCUCCAUAGUAACGCCAUCUCCAACCAUAGGGUGCCAAACUCAAUAUUUGGGAAUUUAGCCCAAAAAGCUCUCCAACCAAUGUAUAGCAAUAGUCUAAAAUUUUGCCCAGCUAUGUUCCGGACUGGAAGUUAGUGGAGCCGACACCCAAGUGAUAAAGGAAAGGGCGAAGCAAGCAAGGGCUAUCGGCCACUUUCGCAUAAAGGAAGCGAACCGUGUCGCGUGUUGGGCAUUUAGCCAUUGCCAUAAAAACAAUGCGCAUGUUUUGAAUUUUUCACCAACUGGCUAGUGGAUCACUAGCUUAGGUUAAAAUUUGGCAAUUUCAUCAGAAUCAUCAUCUACUAUUUUUGGUAUAGCCUUCUCACGUGAGCUCAUUGUAUGAAGGAGAAUGAGAUUGAAGAAGAUUGUGUGUUUGGUUGGAUAGAGCAACUCUUCUUAAAUAGACAAGGGGAUGGAGGUUGGAAAGGAUGACAGAGGAAAUCAUGAUAAGAUAUAAAGAGAUAAUGUGUAGGGUAAACAAAGAUUCUCACUCAGAAAAUAAUGACAAAAUGACAAAACGAGAUAGCCUACGUGUCUGAUUAUAUAUAAUGAAGAUAGGAAAAAUGAGGGAAUUCAUUAAAGUGAUAUAAAGAGAGAUAGACAAGAGUUCAGAACAUGAUUGAAACAAGACAAUAGGAGAUGGGCAACUAAGGAGGAAUAGUUGAUCUGAUUGCCAUUAUGUUCUCCCUUACUGCAUCCAAAAAUAAUCUUACAAUUUUACAAUUCCUACUCAUGUGCUAAUUCCAUAUGGUUAGCAAACGAUUUAAUCAGAAUUUUCCCGUACCAAUUCCUUAGUGCCCCAUUCUUCAAUUCCUUCAUUUCUGGUAAGUAAAUACGUCAUCAUCGUAGUUGUUAUUUCAAGGGCAGAUCUAAUAGUAGCAAACUACAUUCUGGAUAUACACUUUUCAAGAGCGUUGUUACUACUUGUUGCUGUGGGAUACAUUCACGGGGACAAGAAAUCGAUAUCCUUAAGGCUAAUUCAUAAUUACUGCUUGUUGCUCCUCUUGGAAUUGAAAAUGCCAAAACUAAUGACCGAGGUGCCAUUACUUCAGGUUUUGCUUAAACGUUCCACUAGCAAUAGCGUUACUUUCAUAUUUUGCAUAGUUGAUAACAUUUGGUGCAUCUUGGGAUCUAAUCAUACUACACGGACAGCGAGCUACAUCCAAUUCCAACAAUGUUUGUUCGUGGUAAUGUGGGUAUACCGGUAACCAUCUUCAAAUAUUCCUAUUCCUUUCCUAUUUUCCAUUAUUCCAAUUAAAUCGAUUGUGAAUUAAGUAUAGUAUGCCCAGCCCUAAUCAAACCAUCAGUUCGGUAUUGUCGAUACACAAAUUUUUCUGAUCGAAUGCGCAGCCCUAGAUUCGAAACAAGAUGCUUGGAAUAUACCAUAAUAAUUAAUUCAAAAGAGAGAACUCUUUGCUUCAUAUACAGGAGAGGUCCUAUGGCUACACAAUAAUUCGAACUGUGGCCGGACCUAUGGUUUAUAGGUUUCCGGCAAAACAAUUAUUCACCUCUCAAUGUUUGUCAUUACACUUAUGCAAAAGUAAAGUGGAGCUAAAAUUAAAAUAAACUAAUCGCUUUGAAAUCUUGUAUGUGAUAAAAUGAUGGUCUCAAUUCCUGCCCUCAAAAUAAUACGCAGGGAAUACCAAUAAUCUUCUUGCAUGGAAAAUGAAAAUCAGUAGAGGCCCAAAAAUUUCCACCAGAACAAUCCUACUACUGCCCAGAUGACAGCAUUAAUAAUGGCCAUCACAAAGCCCAGUUUGAAUACAUCAGGAAGAUCAACGUAACCAGCUGUUGGAAAGAAGAAACAAAAUCUUAUCAGUCAUCACCGAGAACAUAUUCUACUAGAGACAAUUCAAUGUUUUCAAUGGUUGACUAUAGAGUGCUUAGAUUGAGAGAGAGAGAGAGAGAGAGAGAGAGAGAGGGAAAAUAAAAUUUUCCAAUAAUUGUUUUUUUUUCAAAGGGGAUUCAAUGAAGCAACUGUUAUUGGAGAACAGAUGAACAUUACACAAAUGCAAUUGAUUACAAAAAAAAAAUUCCAAAGUUAAGCAAAUGAGGUCAGAAGGGAGCAUACCUCCGUAGUAUACAGCAGCUUGACCGCUGCUAUAAUGCGUUAAAGCCCCAAAAAGAUUUGUAUUAUAAGCUAAAGCCAAUGCUGCCAACACGCCAGGUACCCCAGCUGCCAAGUGCAUGGCAAGAAAUGCAGAGUAUAAAGCACCCACAUGACCAGUUUGACUUGCAAACAGGUAGUGGAUGGAGAAGUAAGCUGCCUGAAGAACACAAAAUGCAGCUGGCCAGCUCAAAGAGUAAGACUGAAGGGUAUUGGCUACACUAUUAGACAUCCAAUUUACGAUACCAAGGUUUGUCAAUUGGCCAGCCAUACCCACUAGAACAGAAAACCAAGCCAAUGUAUCCCAUGCUGAUUUUUCACUUAAGCAGUCAUCCCAAUCAAGGACUCCUAACAAAAGGAGUAUAGAUAAGCCAAUCAUUGCAGUUACAACACUUGCUAUACCAAGAGCAUCUCUGCAAGAGAACCGAAAAAAGAGUUGGUGAAUCAGAAGAUUCAGAAUCCUAGUAGGACAAAAUGCAUUCUUGGGAAAUCAUGAACAGAAAAUGUCUAUAUCUAUUAUAUAAUGGAUUUACUAUUGUCAACAAUCACUAUAAGAAAAUCUUGCUGGGUUGAAAAAUGUUGCACUAAAGGUGACCUUAUGAGGAAAAAUUAUAAUUCAAAUAAGAAUGUGUAAAAACCAUUUUUGGUCACUGCAUUUAGAACCAAAAUCACAUUCGGACACUGUGAUUUCAAAUUUAUCAAUUUGGUCACUUUGUUUGAUUUUGUUAGCAGUUUUAAGUACAGUUCAAAUUCGGUAAUUGAUUACAUAGAUCCCGAAUUUUCAAUUUGGCACAAAACAAUCUGUUUGUUUUCGAAAAAUGUUGUUGCGGGAUUGAAAGGCCCCCUUACUGGAUUUCUAAAACUAAUUUUAAUUUUCGUGUUUAUUUGAUAGAAUGAUUGAGUCUCAAAGAAUUUUGAGGAUUUCAACUCCAAGUUUGAGAUUUCUUCGGUUUUUGUUUGAAAGACAAAUUUAAGGCUAUAGACAUGGUUUUCGGUCAUCCUCGAGUAAAACCCAAGAGUUUCAACAAGUGUUUGCUUAUCAUUUGAAGCCAAUUUGACAAAGAAACAAAAUUUGAUGUUAGGUCCAAGUUUUUUUUGGCUGUAACCUCAUCUUUGACAACUUAUAUCUUCCAUUAUAGUUGAAGGUUAUGAAGAAUCUCUACAUGAAUUUGAAGCUCUUGUUACACGCUUUAAUACACCUACAAUAUUGUUUUUUGAAAUUAAAUUUUUACAAUUACGAUUAUAACACUUAAAACAAGCUCAUUCUCACUGUUGAAUAAGUUCAUAAAAUCAGCUCUCUUAUGAAACCACAAAUGAACACAGUAAGUUCGUGGAAAUAGAGGUCCAGAAAAUCCAACGUGUUUAACCCCCAAAAAGAAUACAUAACAACAAAAUUAUACUUAACCCACUAAACAUGACUUUGACGAAUAACAUCUGUCGGGAAUAGAAUUGAAAGUUUCCGAAAAGGCACAAAAGAAUAUUAUUGUAAUCACUAAGUCGAUGGAAGCAUCCCAAGCAAAGUCUUAUUCUAAGUGCAGAAUAUAAAGAUUGCCAAAAAAAAGAAUAUGCAAUUAUGAUCUACAGGACAUGUAAAAUUAAUAAUGAAUAGUGCUAAGCAAGAAAAGCUACAUACCCGAAGACCCACAAAGAGACAGCAAGAAGCAUUGUGCCAACCAUAAUGAAUUCAUGUUUUGUGACAGGACCCAUAUGCUCGAGUUUCUUUGUAGCCAUGGCAGGGGCAUCAGGCGUGUCUUUGGUUUCUGGAGGGUAAAGCUUGUAUAAGACUAGUGGAGUAGCUAGAAGCGAAACAAAUGCGGGUAAGCUAGCAGCCUUGAACCAAGAAACCCAAGGGCUUGAAAUUAUCAACCCAAGUUCCUCAGCUAAUUUAAGGCACAAAAGAUUUUGCGCCGCAGCCGUUAAGAAAAGAGCACUAGAGUUACCCGCGGACUGUCAUGCAUCACACAACACAGAUGCAUAAGUCACAUAAUAAUCACAUGAUGACACAAAUAAAAUAUGCUAAUGGAUCCAAGGUCAGAAUAUCUAAUACUUAAUGCUGAAUUAAUGAAAUAGAAAGGAAACUAUAGAUCUUGUAAUUUAGAUACAGCGGUUCUCUUAUUUCAAACAUGAGUGCCUGCCCUUUCUUCAAGCAGACCACAUGUUCCAAACACAGUCCAGGAUAAAUAACCAAAUGCACAGAUAAGAUACAGAAGUUUUAAAUCUGCAGUUUGAUUAGUUCAACGAUCCACAUUUAAAUUUUAAUACAAUCUACUGAAAAUUAGACAGAGUGUUAUGGUCUUCUUUGCAAUUUGGCUACAGACUACAAUCUCUACCAUGAAGAUAACUUAUAUUCUCAGUGAGUAUCCUUAAAAGGAACCAAUCAAACUCACUGGUUUCCAACUAUUGCAAUGCUUCAUGACUCCUAGGAUUUGGGCCAACAUUACAAGAUAGAGAUCACAUUGAAGAAGCACAGAGUAAACUGCAAAGGUAUAUAUGGCUUACGGGGCACAUUUAACAUAUCAUGUGAACAGAGUACUUAAGGCCUACUUCUACGGGCACAAUCUACUGCAUUUCCCUUAAAUAUUUCAUUUACUAAACUGCAAGCAUAAUACUUAAACCUAAAAUGUUGAUAACUUGUUGACUUAGAAUACCCUCAAACCAUUAACUGGUCUAACCAAGUAAUGAAAAAAAAUGUGAAUUACGUUCCAUGUGAAACACCCACGAACUAUAAAACAUAUAAGCAGAGACAGAUUCAUAUGAUCCUUUGUGAAAUAUAUUUAACAAUACAAGGGAGUAAAAUCACAAACCUGAAAUUGAGACAUAAUCAGAUAAGAACCCAGCUUUCCUUUCGAGGGGUGAUCGGGUUUACUCCCGGCAGAGAGGGACAAGGACUUAAUAAUAGGCAAGAAAACACCACCAGCCCUGGCCGUGGUACUCGGCAUUGCCGGAGCAAUAAGUGCCUCGCUUAUUGUCAACCCAUAAGACAAACCCAGUGUGCUUUUCCCCAACCACUUCACAAAAUAAGUGGCAAUCCGAUCCCCCAAGCCGGUCUUCACGAACCCACGAGCGAAGAAGAAGGAAAUAACAAUCAACCAGAUCACCUCAUUGGUGAAAGCACUAAACGCCGUUGUAAAGGGCAGAGUUCCGGUGACAAUGGAGGAUGUGAGGCCGAGAAAGGCCCAAGCGCCGACGGGCAAUGGGCUCAGAACCAGGCCGGCAAUGGUGGAUAGGAAAAUGGCGAGCAAUUGCCAGGCUUGUGGGGAGACUUCGACUGGUUUGGGGACCAAGAAGCGCACGACAAGGCCUAUGGCGAUGGAGAUGAUGAAGGGGAUGGGCUUGGCGCCUAGAGGGGGCUCUGGUGGUGGUUUGAGAGUGGUUUGGGGCUGUGGAGAUUGAAAGGCUUGAAUUGGGAAGUGGGUUUUGUUGGGUUUUGAGGUAGAAGAGAAGGAGACGGGUUCGGAGGCAAAGAGGGUUGGUGAUCGGAGGGCGGGAGAAGAAUUGGGGCUUUUGGAGAUGAAGGGUGGGGAUUUGAGAAUGGGGUUUGAGCGGCGGAAGAGGGAAGCGCGAGUGGAGAGAGAGAAGGAGGAGGUGGAGAGAGAGUGGAGGGCAAAGCUCUCCAUUGUUGCUCACUUGAUAGAGAGAAAAUGAGAGGCAGAAAUGAAUGAGAAUUGGAAUUGGGAAGAGGGGUGAUGAGAGAGAGAGAGAGAGAGAGAAUUUUUGGUGUAUUUUUGUGGGAGGAGCGGAACUCCCAAAGACGGGAGAGAAAAAGACAGACAGACGGAGACGCAGACGAUGCUGAAUAUGUACUGGUAAGCACCCGAUGUGAGGAGGGAAUUCAAUGGUUUUAUUUUUUUUCUUUUUUCUCUUUUCUUUCCUUUUCUUUUUAUUUUUAUUCAGGUUUUUUUUUCUUGAUAUAAGAGCAUGGCUAGAAUAGAAGCCAUGCAAUGGGUAGGGGUCAGGGGGUAUCUUGGCCUCUCAAAAUUGUAUCUACUCCCUCAAAAUCUUUGUUGUUUUAUUUUAGCGGUUAGGGGUUAGAGUUCAAAUUUUAUUUAUUUUAUUGUGAAAUAUCAAUAAUUAUAUGACUGUCCAUUUGUGAUCAAUCUAUAGUAUCUUGUUAGUAAAAGGGAGCUUCACUAAUACAAAGAAAAUAGGAGCUGAAUUUAUAAAAAAAUCUUCACAUAGAAUAUACUUUAGAAACACACUCAAAAUUCAUUUAUUAUAUAACAAAUUAGUGUUAAAGUUCCUAUAAAGUACGGGUCUAACGCUAUCAAGCCCAACAACAAAAAAACUCAAAAAACACCUAAAACAACCCCAGCCCACAUUUAUAAAAAAGCCCAAACAUUUUACUAUCUCGAAAACCAUAACUUUCGUCCAAAAAAAAAACCGUAACUUAACUUCCAGCACGCGAACCUUCAUUAAGUCAUCUCUACAAAACGUCUCUUCACUCAACGUCGUCAUCAAAGCAUCUUCAUCAUUUGUCCAAACCGAGACUCCAUAACCACCACCAUGCUUGAUAUACUUUUAAAAACAAAUACUAGACACUGACCUCCACCUUCAAAACGAAGACAAAAUUUCAGAGAACAAUUUCAACAAGAAAAAGCUUCAAAGGUAAGACAUUUACAAACCAAACCUUUACUGUAAUAUUGAUUAUUUGCUAUAAAGAUCCAUUCUAGAGUAAUAACAGUAUUUUAGAUUCGAAUGAAGGACAAAAUCUUGAAACUAUAUUGGAUUUCACUAUUGGACUGACUGCAUAGGACCAUUAUUUUAGUCACUAAUUUAGUUGCUAGUUUACUGUCAUGUUGAUUAAUGGCUAUAAAAUUCCAAUAUAGGAUAAUAACACUGCUUGUACACUAUGAAAUCCUAUUUGUAAUGCAUGUCUACCACUAUAAAGUUCCAGUAUAUGAAAAUAAUACUACUUGUUUCCUAUGAAAUCCUAUUUGUAAUGCAUGUCUACCACUGUAAAGUUCCAGUAUAUGGUAUUAACACUGAUUGUUCCCUAUGAAAUACUAUUUCUAAUGCAUGUCUACCACUGUAAAGUUCCAGUAUAGGGUAAUAACACUGCUAGUUCCUUAUGAAAUCCUAUUUUUAGUGCAUGUCUAUCACUGUCAAGUUCCAGUAUAGGGAAUUAACACUGAUACUUUACUAUCAUGUUCCUAUUUCUAAUGCAGGUAUUCCAAUUAAAAGAUGAAGAAAGAACAAACCAGAAGAACCUCCAAACCAAAAGGCCAACAGUCAUCAUCCAAAACAAAAACAAACAAGAAGCCAAGCAGAUGGGAGGACCCAAAUUAUGUGCAGAUCAAGAGCAACAUGCUCUCUUUUGCAACAACAAUUGACAACAUCAGACAAAGACUUGAACAUCGGCAUGAUGUCUUAACAUUGCUAUCGAAGACACCUUUUUGGACAUUGAUAGAAGCAAAUAUCCAAAAAAGAUUAACAAAGGUAGAGUGCAUGAAGUCUAACUAUGACAUCGUGAGACUCAUACAAGUUUAUGACACAAAGACAAAGAAGUUCAAGUUUAAUGAUGGUGACAGUGAGAUGAAAAGCCAAGAUGUGGCUGAAAUUUUUGGCUUGCCAAACAGAGGCAAGAACCUCAACAAUGCCAAAUUUGCAUUUUGUAAAAAAAUAUUUCAGGGGUUAUAAGAAGAUAAAAAGACUUCAAUUGAUAAGUGAUUGAACUUAGCACUUGAAGAUGAAACAGAAGAGGGUGCUAUGGAUGUAAUAAGAUUGAUAAUCCUACAACUCUUCAUGACCAAUCUCUUCUACAACUCUGGUUGUACACUUGCUUGGACAUAUACAACCACAAUAGACACCUUAGAAGAGAUGAGGAAAUAUAAUUGGGCUCAAGGAGUUUUGGACUACAUGUAUUUUGGAUUAGAACAAGCAAAGAAGAACAAGGACAAAAAAAAGCAGCCAAGCGUGAGUGGCUCCCUAAUCCUAAUACAAAUCUCCAAACUGCAAAUUCAUAACAUUAUUCUAAUGAUAUGAAUUGACACGUGAUAUUGCAAAAAAUAUUGUGCAGUAUUGGCUGCGUCAAAGAUCUAAACUACUCACUCCAAUUUCUGGAAGAGAACAAAUGACACCAACAACUAUCAGAUGGAGUCUUCAAGAACUCAAUGCGGAGUUUCAUCAUCUAAAGAACAACUAGAUAAAGGUACUCUUUCCUUUUAAAUAAUUUGUAGCUGAUAUGACAACAUUGGUAAUGACAUGUCAUAGACAUACAUUCUUAAUACCAUAUCAUAGAAGUAAACUAUGAAUACCAUGUCAUAGAGGUAAACUAUGAAUACCAUUUCAUAGAAGUACACUAUUAAAACCAUGUCAUAGAAUUACACUCUUAAUACCAUGUCAUAGAACUACACUCUUAAUACUAACUCUACUCAACAAACAAAUAAAAAGCACUAAAGCUCAAGAGCUGGAUGAUAUUGCUGAAGAAGUGAAUGAAGAGAAUGAUGAUGAUGCUGAAGAAGAAAAUGAAGAGGAGGAUGACGCUGCUAAAGAAGUGAAUGAAGAGCAUGAUGAUGCUGCUGAAGAAGAAAAUGAAGAGACGAAUGAUGCUGUGGAAGAAGUGAAUGAAGAGCAUGGUGAUGCUGCUGAAGAAGAAAAUGAAGAGGAGGAGGAUGCUGAAGUAAAUGAAGAGCAUGAUGAUGCUGCUGAACAUCAAGUCCAGCAACACCACCAACUACAAGAAGACCUCCAAACUGAAUCCCAGAAUACCGGAACUCAACGUUGUUUGAGGAAAUUGUUAGAUCAGUCCCAGAAUAUACAAGGAGGAUGAAAUACAGCUUACAGAAGAGUAUAUGAUGGAGAUCAAUAAUGCUGCUAAAUAUUGGACAAAGAAAUGAGAGCAUCAAAAGAUCCAUGAUGCAAUAGCAUCCUGCAUAAAAAAAGAAUAAAUUGAUUCAGAUGCUAUACAAUGAAAAAGAAGAAUUAAGGAAGCAUCAUCAACAAUUGCAGAAGAUGGUUAAGGAAGCAGCUUAUCACAAGAAUACCAUACAACUUGAUGUUUAUGAGGAAAAAUCCUACAUGACAAAGCUGCAGCUAGAAAAUGAUCAACUUCUUGCAGAGAAGAUUUCCUACUUGGAGAUUAUUAAUGAAAAGGAAGUUGUUAUUGCCUUGUUGAGAGAUAAAAAAAAUUAGCGCAAGAACUACAGAGCGAAGACGAUAAAGGAGAAAAGAAAGAAGGAGAUAAAUUCGAGAAACUUGCAUCCGAGGGCCACAAAAAUCAAAGAAACAACAUUUGAAAAGAUCGCAACAAAACCAGAUUCCUCAUUCCCUAAAGCAGAGACAAUAGCACAAAAGAGAAAGGCACAAAAAAAACCUCAAGAACCAGCCAAAUCAAAGAAGAGGACCAAAGGUUCAUUCCUGCAAUGGAAUACAUAUCAGGUCUACAACAUGCUGGAUGAACUCUCACAAGAAAAGCUGAGAAAUUACUGAAAAAAUUCAGUUGAUGGGCAAGGCAAUGUGUUUCAUUCAUUUUUAAUGCAAGAUGCUAUUAUUGAACAUGCAUUAGAAAAUAAGAUUUCAUUGUGUUAUGACCCUAUACUUGAACUUUACAGGGGGUAGACAUGCAUUAAAUACAGGAUUUUAGAGGAAUCUAGCAGUGCUAAUACCCUAGACUGAAACUUUGCAGUGAUAGACAUACAUUACAAAAAGGAUUUCAUAGGAUACAAGCAGUGUUAUUACCCUAUACUGGAACUUUAUAAUAGUAGACAUGCAUUAGAAAAAGGAUUUUUAGGAAAUAAGCAGUAUUAUUACCCUAUACUAGAACUUUAUUAAACAUUUCUUUCACUUUUAUUGACAAUUUUUCUAACUACAAAUACUGUUACAGCACUACUUUUUGGCAAGGGACAAGCAUUUUGUUCAAAGAUGACAUACAAAGCUUAUUAAGAGAUACUAAAAUUUAUGGACAAAUAAUAUAUGCGUAUGCUAAGAUACUUCAUCAUGAUGAAAAGAAGGACUCUAAAAGACAACAGAAUGCAUACAUCACGUACUACGCUUACGUAAGAUCAUAGCUAUCCCAUUACUUCUAGUAAAAACCACAAAUUAUUCAUCUUCCUAUACUUUUCAUAUUCUCUCUAAUGCCGAAACUAUUAAUCUUGCAGAGGUAUCUCACAGGUAAAAUGCACCUAAGAACAUUCGAUGAAUAUUUUGUCAAACUCCUCGAAUGCAUAGGGAAAACUUCAAAGGUGUUCAUUCCAAUAACGGAUGGCAGACACCACACCCUGCUUGUCUUUGACACCAAUUCAUUGCAAUGGACGCACUACAACUCAUUGACAGGGGAAACUGAGCAAACCGUUGAAUACUACAACAAAAAAGCAAUAAUUUUGAUAAGACAGACUCCUACUAUAAACUGUUAAUACAAGGCAUGAACAAAACCAUUUAACAAAAAUCAGUGAAGCUAACAACAUACUUGCCUACAAUGCAAGCAAACACAUCAAAUGUCUUCCUCAAUAAUGUCAAGGAAUGUGCUCCAACAAUUUUAGAAAAAACAGCUUCAUACUUCUUGAGUUCAAGAAGCCCAUCUACGAUGAAGAAUUCACCGACGAGAUUGCAAAACUUCUUCCGAACCUAGAAGUUACACCAUCAAUUGAUCAAACAAUACAAUAUCUGAUGAAACGUGAUCCCACCAAAUUCAACUUUAAGGAGGACAGGGAAUGCGCCUAACAACCUAAAAAGUCGUAAGUGUCACAAUAACACUUUCCUUCCCCCAAUUCAAAUUAAACUAUGAUUCACUAAAUGUUGCAUAUAUAUAUGUGUGUGUGUGUGUGAAUUUGCAGAAACGAUUGUGGUGAAGGAAAACAAAUUGAAGAAAGAUUGAGUACAUAGCAUGUGUGGGAAAUGAGAAAAUAAGUUUUAUUGAAGACAAUGGAAAGUGAAAAAAGUUGGUAUUUCACAAAAGGGAAUGAAGGAUGAAAGCAUGGAUUUCAAAAAUUUUAGAACUGUAAAAUAGUAAAUGUUCGGCUUCUAACUUCCAAAUGUCAAAUUGUUAAUACGUAGCUUCUGAACAAAAUCUGUUGCUGCUUCUUAACUUUCAAAUGUCAAAUAGUUACUGUGUAGUGAGAUUCAAAUGUAAAAAAUUAUUACUAUGUAGCUUCUUCUAAAUUUCAAACUGCGCAUUAACAGUGGGUUUCAAAAUGGAUAUUAAUAGUGACUUUCAAAAAACCCAGCCCAAGUUGAGAAAAUCAAGGUCAGAAACGAAAUAAAGCCCAAAACAAAUCAAACAAGCCAUCGCAAAAUACAGAAAAAAGGCCCAGUCUAAUUUGACCCAAAAAAGAGCCCAAAUAGACUAAAAAGUCUUAUAAAAAAAGAAGCCCAGAAAACUCAACAAGCCAAUAAAGCCCAAUUUCACUAAGCCAUUGAAAAAAAAUAUAUAUAAACCCAGAGAACAACAGUACACACACCAAAAAAGCAAAAAACCAACUUACCUCUCACUCCGAUCUUUGCGACACCAACUCCAAAAGCAGGCGACAACCUCCAUAACCACCAGGUAGGAGACAAACUCCAUAACCACCAAUCAAAGACAAACUCCAUAACAAGAAAGCCGGCUAAUCGAAGUUACAUUCUGCCAUAGCCAAAAGUCUUCAAAAUUGACACUACAAAACCUUAAAAAAGCAACUGAGCACAAGGACAACCCAGGACAAAAGGAAGAAAAUUUCAUCCAUAAAGAUCGACAGAAGGUACAAUUUCAAAAACCCACACUCACUUUCCACUUUCGUCUCAAGAUUUUGCUAAUUAAUGCAAGAGUACCACAUUUAAUACAGGUAACCAACGAAAAGGUCCAACAAUGACAGAAACAAACACUCAUCAUGCAAAAAGCACAGAAGACCAUCCCAAAUCAAACAAAGAAGCUUCAGAAAUGGCUGACAAAACAUUAGUAUCAAACUCCCAGGUAUUACAAAAUCUCUUAACUUCAAAGUCCAAUAGCAAUGUUUUGACAUGUUUUGAAAAGAUGCAUGUUUUGACUGCAAUGUAUAUGUUUCACAACUAUUAAUACUAUGUCAUAGAACUUGAACUAUUAAUACUAUGUCAUAGAACUUCAAAAUAUAUAGCAUGCUUUGUUAAUCAAAAUUUGGGGUUGCUAUGCAUCUUGCUCUUCUAGUGCACUACUUCGCAGUGCACUUGAAGACCAAAAUAUAUAGCAUCCUUUGUCAAUCAAAAUCUGGGACUGCUAUGCAUAGAAGUAGUAAUACUUAUGUUUCAUCUUUCUUUUGUUUAGUUAAAGUAAUCUAUUUGUUUCACUUUGCAGGUGGUCAUAUGGAAAAAGAUAACCAUGUUGAAAUUUUUUUUUUAAAAAAAAAGGCUACAAAAGGAUCCCAAGCCAGGAAAAGCACAAAACAGAAUCAACAAACACACAAGGCACACCACCAACAACAGCAAAAGCCAAACUGUCAACACUUAAAGCCAAUCCACAUAAACCAAAGACCAAAGCUAAACAAACACCAAAACCAUCCACUCCCAAAUCCACAAACACACUGAAACCAAAGAAAACAACGAAGACCAAAGAACACCAUCCCAAACACAAAAACCUCAACCAAACAGAGGUAAUAACCCAAAUUAUGUGUAGAUCAAGAGCAAUAUGCUCACAUUUGACAACACAUUGCAAACGGUAAAAGACAAGCUUGCAGCAAGAAAGGAUGUCCUCAAGAUCCUACAAAAAACGCCAUUCUGGAGCAUCAUCAAGGCUUACAUGGAAGGUCAGUUCACCAAGGCAGAAUGCCAGAAGUCUAAUUAUCAAAUAAUUAGACUAAUCAAACUCUAAAACCCCGCAACCAAAAAAUUCAAAUUCAGUGAAGGCAACGAGUAUGAAAUUACAAGCAACAAUGUGUUUGACAUCUUUGGAUUGCCAAACAAAGGAAACAAGUUGCCAAGCACAACAACUUCCACAAGAACAAAUUUGGACUUUGAAAAGAAGUACUUCAAGAAUUCAAAAAAAAUCACAAAAACUUACCUUGAUAGGUGUCUGAACACAACAAUAGCAGAUGACAGAAACAGAAAUGCAAUGGAUGUUGUGAGGUUGUUAAUCCUAGAGCUCUUCAUCACAAAUCUCUUUUGCAACUCUGGGGCGACAAUGGCUUGGACCUUUUUGACUAUGAUCGACACCUUAGAAGCAAUGAACAGCUACAACUGAGCGCAAGGAGUCUUAGAAUACAUGUAUUUUGGACUGGACCAAGCCAUAAAAAAUAAAAAGGACAAGACAAAUCAACCAAGUGUCAGUGGUUGCCUUGUGCUAAUCCUGAUAAGAAACUACAUCCAUUUGUUAAUCCUAUUUUAUUAUUUGUUUUCAUGUGGAUUAACACUUUAUUUUGAAAAACAUGUUUGCAGUAUUGGCUAUCUGAAGGAACUAACCUGAUCAGUCCAAUUCCUGGAAGAGAAGCUCACAAACCAGUGGCUAUGAAAUGGAGCCUUCCGGAGCUCAAUAUCAAGCUGAAUAUUGCAAAAUAUGAAAACAUUAAGGCAUUUUUCUUACUUCCAUAAACAUAUAUAAUGUUAGUACACCAUAAUUACUACUGCCUCCAAUAAUUCAACAGAUAAAAGCUGCUGACAAUGAAAAAGAAGAAGAAGCAACAAAGACUGAUCAUGCAGACCAUGAAGAACAAGAAGAAAAUGAAGAGGAUGAUAACUUUUAUAUCACACUUAAAGAUUGGGUAAGAUAGCCUACAAUGAUCCAACAUUUAUAUUUCAAAGCUGAAUUGCUGGUGUACAAAAACAUAUACAUGUAUAUAAAUUUGCUAAUACUCUUUUUUUCAUUUCUAAUAUUUGUUAUAGUUAAAGAGUCAAACGCAAAAAGGAAAAAAGCAGACUGUUAUUACCCAAAAAUAGAACUUCAGCUUCUAUGAAAAUGUGGACCAAAGUUCAACCUAGACAAAAACUUCACAACAUGAGCAAAAUGAAGACAAUGCACAAUCAUUGGGAUGCAAAGCAGAUGAUGAAAUUGAAGAACAACCAGCACAAUCAUUGGGACGCAAAGAAGAUGAUGAAAUUGAAGAACAAGCAGUUGACCUUAGUGCAGACUCAAUGAUGGAGGAGAACACUGUUAAUGUCCAGUAACAGCAUCCAGAACUUGAUAGCCAGGAAGAAGACUUCAACAACAUUUUUGGGGACAUAGUGGGUUCAAUCCCAGAGUACUACAAGCAUGAAAUAGUUCCUACCCAUGAGAAAAUCCAACAACUGAAAGAAGCAGUCUACUAUUGGAUUGAAAAGGCAGAUACUCGAAGGGAUAUGAUGCAGACUGCUAUAGAAUCCCGCAUAAAGAAAAAUUCAUUCACUCAACAAAUAUGGACUGAAAAAGAAGAUUUGGAGCAACAAAUUCAAAUACUGAAAAAGCAGCUUGAGCCAGAGAAAAAAGGAAGUACAAAAUUACAAGGGGAACUUCAUGCACGAAAAUCAAACAGGAGACAACUACAGGAACAACGUGAACUACUUGAAGGGGAAAAGUUGUCCUACAUUGAGAGAAUGAAAGAAAAAGACACUAUUAUUGCCUCUUUGAAACAUGUGAUGGGAAAAAAUUUCAAACAACGUGAACAAGGAGAAAUUCCAAUGAAAGAACAAGCUGAUAAUGAGAAAAAAGAUGAGAGAAUAGCAGAAGAACGAUAAUAAAAGGAAGCAGUUCAAGUUGAAACAACAGAAAAGAUUGAGCAGAAAAUUGAGAAACUAGCAGAGAACCUUGAAAUUGAAAGAGCAGAUGGAAAAGCCAAUCAGAAAGAUGAUAAUACAAUAGAAGAAAAUAAGGAAGAAAGUGAAUUAGAGAUGCAAGAAUCUCCUAAUGAUGAAGAUGAGAAUGCCGAUGAAAAAACUCCUAAAAAGUCAGUUAUCAUGCAAGCGAAAGAAGUAGGAACACGGCAGUUACGUUCUGGCAUCAAAAUAAUCAAAGACAGAAAGCCUGCAAAGAAACCAGAUUACACAUACCCUGAAGCACAUAAGAAAGCCCGAAAAAGAGCAAGCCGAAGUGAAGACGAAGCAGCAAACAAAAAAAAGGACAAAGAUACAUACCUUCAAUUGCACAUGUAUGAGGUCUACAACAGGCUGGAUGAAAUAUCAAAGAAGAAGUUGGAAAAUUACUGGAAAUCUGCAUCUGAUUCUGAUGAGUGAGCCAAUCUGUCAUAGAAUUACACUGUUAAUACUAUGCCGUAGGACUAUCAUAGAAUCACACUGUUAAUACUAUGUCAUAGAACUAUCUUGUUAUUAAACUGUUAUGAGAUUAUUAUUUGUUGAAUUAUUUUUUAAACAACAUUAUUGUUGCAGGGACGCUUUUUGCCUACACAAUAGGACAAUAUUGUACAAACAUAACAUUGAAAACCUGAUGGGAGAUGAUCCAAUUUCUGCACUAAUCAUCAAUGCUUAUGGAGAGGCACUUAAUGAUGAUGCGAAGCAAAACCCUCAGAAACAAAAAAAAUGCAUAUUUGUCUGCUAAUAACUAUGUAAGAUCACAUCUAAUACAUCAAUUUUAUAUCACCAACAUACUCACUAAUCACCAACAUAUGACUUUUGCAGAUAUUUUUGAGAGGUACUUCGUACAAGCUGACAUAUCAUGCUUUCUAUAUGCCACUCCUAGAAAAUGUUGGAAGAGUUGAUAGAGUGUUCAUACCAAUUACAGACGAGAACCUCCAUAUGCUGCUUGUCUUUGACACCGAUGCAGCAAAAUGGACACACUUUAACUCAUCCAGGGGGACAUCAGAACAAACUCUCCAAUAUUAUCACAAGAAGGCAACUGUUUUGGUAAGUAAGACUGGUGAUUAACAUUGUUAAUACAUAUGACACUAAAUUUAAAGGAAACUAAGCACAUACUUGACUAUGAUGCAGGUUGAGACAGCAAAUAUAUUCCUUUGUCUUCUUAAGGAAUGUGUUGCAACAUCACUGAAAACAAAACUCGUCCAAAUUCCUAAUUUUGAUGCCAAGAAGCCGAGAGGGCUUAAUGAAGCUUCAGCUAAAAUGAUAGCAAAAAUACUUGCCAGCAUCAAACUUACACCAAAAUAUGCUCAGACAUUGAAGUAUCUAAUUCGUCAUGAUAUUACUAACUUCAAGCUGACUGAGAACAGAGAAUGUCCCCAACAAGCAAACAAUUCGUAAGUUACGCAAUAACAGUAAAAAUUUAAUUCUCUUCAACUAAAAAAAUACUGAACUAACUCCUGCAUAUGUAUCUCUAUUAUGCAACAAUGAUUGUGGCGUCUUUGUCAUGCACUUCAUGAAGCAGCUUUCCAAAGACAAACAAAUAGAAUCAGAUUUCAACAAAUCAAAGGUUUGGAAAAUGAGAAAAGAAGUCCUCAUGAAAAUUAUGAGCAAUGAAAGAAGUUGGAUUUCCAUCAAAGAGAGAAAUGCGAAAGAAUAAAGUUGUAAUAAAAUAUUUUGCCAAAAUUCUUGCUUAUAUUGUAGUUUCUUAGGACUUGUGUAGGUUUAAAACAUUGAAGUAAAGUGAUUUUAAAAUUCAAGUUAUGUACUUAUUCAAAAACCAGUUUAUUUACGUGAAAUAACAGUGUAUGUAACCUGAAAUAAUGGUCUCCAUAACACUAAAACAACUAAAAAGGUGAACUCCAACAAAUACCAACGCACUCUAAAUACAAUGUUAAUACUAUUUGAUAGAAAUAAAUUGUUAAUAUCAUGUCAUAGAACGAUCUUUUAAUUUCAACUAUGAUGUAAACAGCGUGCAUUAAAUAGUGUUCGUUAAUUUAUAGAUAAUUCAAACAACAGUAAUCCUUAAUUCAUAUCAAACUUCAAAACCAAAAUUUGCAAAAUACAAAAAAUGGUAAAUAUUAUGUAUUAAUACAAAAAUUCAAAGAGUAUUCAUAUGCAGUAACUGCUAUUCACUGUAUUAACAACUUGCAUAUCAAUUUCUAUUCCUUUCAACUAUGAUUGUCAUUAAUCAAUCACAUAGCACUUUAACUUGUUAAAAACUAACUACAUUCAUUCAAGUCUAUAUACUCUAGAACCUUUACAUCAAAUAGAAGCCUUGCAAGUCCUCCUAUUAUGACGAUCACAAGAUCCGCAGCUCUUGCAUUUCACUUGCCUUUUAGUUUCACUGCUUGACUCGAAAAGCUUUGUCGGAGGUCAUCCCAAAGGCUUUCUUAUAUGAGGAGGUAGAAGAAAAACAUCUCCAGGAGGAGGCUUCUCAAUAUCAGGUAUGGGAAAUAUAGGGGUUGCAAAAGUAGCCCUAUAAAAGUCUGCCUUGUAAUACUCAUCAACAAAGUUGUACAAACAUAACCCGGAAUGUUGGAUAACUUGAAUCGCAUGUAGACACGGAAACCCAACCAAUUGCCACUGAUAACAGGAGCAAAACCUCUCGUCCAAAUUGACCAUAACACUUAAAUCAGCAUGAACUUCAAAUAUAAAUUCACUCUCGCGACAUAUCCUCCAAUGACGACCCUUUGCAGCUAAAUUCUUCAACUCAUCCUCAAUAACCGAACACAAAACACCACACCAUUUCUCGGAUGCAAGCUUCCUCCUAGAAAUCAUCUCCAUCAUUUUGACCCUAACAGUGUCAAUCAUCUCAUAAAUUGGAAGCCUACGCACAUCCUUAACCCAUAAAUUAAACGACUCGGACAAGGCAUUACUAACCUCCUCAUACCUCUUUCCCGGAAAAAAUGCAUUAGCAAAAUUUUGGAUAGGGAGAUCAGCAAAAAACUUAUCAAUUAUUGUUGGACCGCCAUCAUCUCUUAAUUUUCUCAACCUAUCUUGAUAUUACUCAAUAGUCGGUGCAUACAACAACUUACAAAAAAGUCAUAAAAUAUGAUCAUUGAAAGAGGAACCAACAGAAUGCGGAUACUUCUUUUUCAAGUUCUCUUUCAAAUGAUAUAGACAAAAAUCAUGGGCAGAAGCAGGAAAAACAGUCCUAACAACAUUGAUAAUAGCACUAUGCCUAUCAGAAAUGAAUGUAAGUUGCCUACUCUCAUCUCCAAGACUUCAGAUAUCCUUUGCAGAAACCACCUCCAAUUGUCCACAGUUUCACCAGAUACAAUUGCAAAGGCAAAAGGGAAUACCUCUACAAGAAACAGAGAACUAUAUUAGUUAGUUUGAACAUUGCAAGAGCUAACAGUGCCAUAUGAAGCAGAGUAAAACUACAAUGCAUAAAAAUACUCAGAUGCAGGGUAUGAACAGCAUAGCAACUGUUCAUACCACUCAAUGGAAGUCAACAACUACAGCAUUUACAUUUGCAUAACUAUACUGUUCAUACCACUCAAUGGAAGUCAACAACUACAUCAUUUACAUUUGCAUAAUAGGUACGACAAAAGUGUACAACUCCAUACUACUUAACAUCAAUUGAUUUGCAUAAUGGGUACAAAAAAUUGUAACAACAGUGAAAAAGCAUUGCAUACCUUUAUUUCCAUUCUUUGCAGUAGCUCCUAGAAGAGUACCCUUGUACUUGUUUGUGACGAAAAUAUCAUCAAUGAACAACAUAGGCCUACACCAUCGAAAACCAUCAAUGGAGGCCUUAAAACAUAUAAAGAUCCGCUGGAAACGAGAACCAUCCUCGCCACAGUCAAGCACACAAUGAGGUCCGACAUUGCUGGCCUUCAAAACAUCCACAUACCAAGACAGGUGAGCAUAAGACAACUCCUUAUCACCACGUAAAUCCUUAGUGGCCGACUCCUUCCCAUACCAAGCAACAUGAUAAGGGAUAUCAAAUCCAUAAUUUUCCUUCAAAUAAGUAAUCAGCUCAAUAGGCCUUACCAAAGGAUUGCUACGAACUUUAUCUUUGACAAUUGAAGAUACCAAACGAGACCCCAUUGCCUUAUUUCUCUUCUCACUAAUCAAACCACUGCAACUGUGUACGUUAUUUAAAUUCUUAAUAUAAAAAAAUCCAUUUACAUUGGACUUAACAUCAUGCACAUGCCACUUACAGCCAUUUGAUUCCUUCUUAGCACACACGGUAGUAACACGACGAGGCUCAUUUUUCAAAUACUUCAUCUUAAAAUCAUUCUCAAUCGAGUACUUAGCCAACUUAUCACGGAAUUCACAAACUCCACCCUCAAACUUCUGACCCUCAUGAGUAAUAUAACCCUCCCAAUCAGUAGACAAAUACUUACGACCUCCACAACUACCAUAUUUGCCCAAAUAAUCAUUUCCAAACUCACUGCUAAUACCAUCAAAAUCCAUACUCAAACAUGAAGAAGAAGCUGCACUUGAAUCAACAAUACUACCAGCCACACUUGAAUCUUUAUAUGUAUCCUCAUCUUGCGCAAAAUUGUCAUUAUUAGGAAUAGCCUCCAACAACAACAAAAAAAAACAAUUAUGUUCGUAUUAAUAGUUUGAACAUGAUUCACUACAGCCUUAUCCCUAACAACAAUGUGAAUUAAUUAAUCCUUCAUCUGUCCACAUACCAUAAACAUGAUUUUCAAAUCAUCAUCCGAUUCCAAUAAAAAAUGGGAGCAAUCCGUAAAAGAGUACCUUAACUCAAAAUGACCUAACUUAAGCUUAAACCUACUGAACAACUCGUUGGACACCCAAUCAAAAGUAGUAGUUGAAGACAAAAUAAGCAUUAAAGUUCCAGCACCAGAGGUGCACUUCGCCACUCUCGAAUCAUCCAUAUCUCUACAAACAAAACAACAAACAAAAUAAAAAUGACUACUAGCAAUAACAAUGGAUGCCGAGUGUAUUAAUAAUGAAUUAUAGUCGACUCAAAAACCAAUAGUGCAUAAACAAAAAAAACACGAAUAUACUCAGAUUCAGCUGAAAAAACAUACCUCAAUUAAUAUGAAAACCAAAUCGAAUAUCAAAUUUUUUUACCACACCUCAAACCAAAACACAAGAGCAAAUCCACAAUCAAAACGAAUCUGAAAUCAAUCCAAAUUAAAAAUGAAAACCUAAUCAGCAACUUAAUUCAUCAAGCAUGAAAUCAAUAAAAAUCAGACUACAAUAUAAUCAAAUACCUAAAAAAACGAAUAUGAAUUCACAAGAAAAAAUCGAAUACCUCAAAAUCGAAGAUCACAUAUCGCACCAAGCUCUAAUCGAGUCUCAUGCUAUGCAAUAUCAAUCCAAAAAUUACCAAAUCAAACAAGAAAGAAAAAAAAAAUUGAAGCAAUAGAACUCCAAUCUACACCUUACACCAAACAUCAAGCUCAGAAGAUCGAAAAAGGGCAUCUGGAACCACAUCAUACAGGCUCGUUUGGAAUAUUCGAUCUGCUGAGGCUGCCAAACAGGUUUCAGUUAUGAGGUCACCAACGUAAAUUUCAAGAAAUUCCUAUCCUAGCUAGCGAGUUUUGGCCCUAUUUCAAAAAAUUCAAACCAAAAGGUCAAAACCGUAAUGUAACAUAGAAAAUAAAUCCAAAAAUCGACAGCUGUCGAUUUUUGGGUUUAUUUUGGGUGUGUUUAUAUACUUUAAAUAGUAGUAUAUUUAUAGUUUCAUGUCUAGGAAUGGGCAUUUCACUAAUUUUGUAUUAGUAAAACUCCUUAAUGAUGUAUGUUGUGAAAUUAUUACAAGUGCACAAUUCGCACAAGUAAUAUUCAGAUAAGUGAAGUAUCGUUCUCACGAAGACUGUAAUUUCCUUUUAAGUACCAAUUAUAAUUAAUUCAUAAGUUUAUUUGAAUAAUUGAUUAAUGAGAGUGAUUGAUUUAUUAACAGUGGAAAAUCAAGUUGAAGAGACACUAGAGCAUCCGAUUUUACCAUAAUUAAUUUCACUUAAUUCUUAUAGUCAAUUAACCCUAAUUACUACUUGUGUUAACAGUUGGUUUAUCUUAAUUCAUUCGAUAUCCCCUCUCGGGCUCAACCAAAGUAUUCUUAAUUAACAACAGAUUUAGAAAAUCAAGAGCCCAUUAAGUUCUAUGAGAACUUGAAAGAAAACUGCAUGAGUCAUGUUAGUCCCUCUCGGGCACUCAUUCAAGACAUGGUCUUUGUUACGAGAAGCAAACACCAAACAUCUCCCUCGGUCUCCCCUUGGAUCAUCAAAUCAAUUAAAUAUUGGACAUAUAUUCAAAGCAUUAAGAUCAGUAACAAAUACUCAACAUGGAAUAGUAAUCAGAAAUUAAUAUAACUAUAAAAUUUAAGUAUUCAUGGUUACUGGAGAGGAAAAUUAGUUCAUGACAAAGGAAAAGAGAAACAGAGAAUUAUUGUCAUAAAACUGAUUUGGUAAAUAGAUUUGAUCUCUGGAUUCUCCACAGCAACACCUUCAUAAGCUCCAAAAGCACUGCAGCAGCAAACUCUUGGCUCUCUCAUUAAUGUAUUUGUAGGUGUAUGAAAUAUGGUAGAAGAUAAAUGGUAUAAAGAUCCUCCAUAGAGAGAGCUUAGGGUGACCUUAUAUAGUGUAAAACAACAAAACCUUACUCUAAAAAGGUUUGGAAAAACUCUCCUAAACCAAAAUAAAAUCCCAAACAAUUAAGGCAACUAACUAGUAAAGAAUCCUUCUUUGACUUGGAAACACGUCAGCCAACCUGCACGUUUUAGGGUGCCAAAAUAAAUGGCCACCACGACGCCGCCAUCCAUGGUGGUCCGUUACAACCACAUGUCAUGGCCUAAUCUUAAAGCCACAUCAUUCAUUCCCUCAUUUGCCGCCACACUACACAUACGCUCUUGUGUACAACCCUAACGAAACCCUAGCCCCUGUGCAAUUGGGCUCCACACAAUUCUCUCCUACUGAUCCACGAAGUCAAGCAAACUUAGUCUUAGUGUUGACAAAUGACUCAAAGAGUGGAGAACCAAAACAAAUUGGUUGGACAACUCCUUAACUAGAUUACCUUGGUCCAAGACGUUGCCUUUGGACCACAAGGGGAAGAGAGAAUGAUGAAUAAAUGCACUCGCAAGCAGUUCGAGAGGUCCCAUGCAGGUCGAGCAGGAGCAAGCAAACAAGGAGAAGGAUAAGAGUGAGUUGCUCAGCACAUCGACUUCACUCACGGCUGAAUCAUGGAGGGUACCGACGUGAAUCGUAGGCCAUGCAAGCAAAAGAUGUUGAGAAGCUCGUGAAUGACUGAUUUCGAGACUUGAAGAUUGGAGGAGAUUUCAAAGAUGUUAUGCGUAAGGAGGUGGACCUAGUGAACUCAUAACUAUUCACCAUAGAGAUUGAAGAAGCGGCUCUAAUAAAGCAAUUUUCAGCUCUUUCUUUUACACACUUCAAAAGGUAUUCCGAUCCCAAGAGCUAUCUAAAGCACUUCAAAAGUUUUAUGAUUCUCUAGAAGGUCGAAGAUGCGCUGAUGUGCAAGGUGUUUGCAAUGACCUUACGAGGAGCAACCCAGGAUUGGUUCCAUACCCUGCCAUCCAGGUCGAUUAGCAGCUUCAAGGAGUUAGCUUUAGUCUUCACCAAGGAGUACACUUCUUAUUGGACCAUCAAAAAGGACCCUAACCACCUGUUCAACCUGUGCAAGAAGCAUGGUAAGUCCCUUCGAGACUACAUCAAAAAAUUUAAGGUGGAGAAAGCUAACAUUGUGGGAUACGAUGACCGAAUCGCAUCAUUUGCCUUUAAGAAGAGUCUACCGGCCGAGCACGACCAAUAUUACGAGCUAACUAUCACUUCUAGCCAAACUCUGGCAGAGAUCUUAGUGAUUGUGGAACGCUACAUGCUCUAGAGCGAUGAUCAAAUCUCCAAAAGAGGUGAUAAGCCCAUCAGUAGGAACUAUGGAGGAAAGCGCAAGGCAUCAUCCCAAGGUGGCACAUCAGCAGAUGAAGGCUAUACGAAGUUCACUAUUCCGAUACAUUAAAUCUUGGCCCAAGUAAAGGAUAAGCCUCGGCUGACGAGACUACCACAUUUGAAGGGAGAUCCUAAUAAAAGAAGUACCAACAAGUACUACGCCUUCUAUGGAACACAUAGGCACGACACAGCCAAUUGCCGAUCUUAGAAGAUACACGUGUCCCUUGAAUGGUGCAAACGGCUCAAACUUCGAGCAGGAAUGUUAGCAACUCUUUAUUUCUAGAUAGCCGAACCAGCUAGGAAACAGACUUCUUUGCAGGGCAGAUUGUAGUCUUUGAGCUGGUCAGUUGGAGACUUAAUUUGACUAUCUCACACAUUCUGCAUGUCGCCAAUCUUCCUACUAUCCACACUGACGAGCAGCUUUUACUUGAGUCUUCUCAGCAAACGAGACCUCUUUUGAAGAAGACUUUAUCACAACAAAAGGAAGUUUUGGCUUCUUCCUUAGUGGAGACACAUCCAUUACCCCCAAAGUUGCAGCUUCAUCUUUGGAGGACCUGGCAUCGACCUUUCUCUUUGUGGGGGGUUCAGUAGAGGACUCCUCCUGUUCGGCAGGCAAAUCAUCCUUGUCCAAGCCAUAUUGCUUCCGUCUCUCAACAUCCUUAGCAGGGGGCAGGCCACCACAUUUCUCCCGAUACUUGCUCAACAACCAAUGCCAUUUGCGAAACCUUGCAGGGAUUUUCAAGACCCGGGAACCUUAGCCAUGUUCGGCUCAAGAUCAAAUUUCUUGCUAAUGUCAUCCUUUGCAAGCAGAAGACAGAAUUUAGUCAGUCACACAUCAAAAAAAUUCACACAAAAUUGAAGCAGAUCAAUAGAAGUAUAAUGUACCAUCGCAGUAAGUGAGGGGAACAAGUGGACCAUCUCCAACCUCGCCUUCCCACCGCCCGCUGACCUCUAAUACAUCGACAUGCCAUACGUGAUCUCCUUGGCUAAGAUUGUCAAACAACAGAUUUGCAUACACGGACCUGGGCAUACUUCUCGUAACACCUCACUUCAAAGAAGUAGAAGAACUCUUGCACAAUCAGAUCCAACUUGAAGAAACGACUCAGAUUCUCAAAACACAUGAUCGCCCGGUAGAUGUUCAAAGUACAUUGACUUGGAGCACACUCCAUGACCUUCCUAAAGAACUUCGACCUCAGAAACGUGAAGCCCAAGGAGAAGUAAAAGGGGCGGAAUGUGAUAAUUCUGGCAUCCGGAUCAUUCAAGUCCACACAAGUUGCAUCGUUAGUCAAAUACUCUAGCAGCUUGAGAUGCUCAUCAUUAGGUAUGGUAGAAGCAUAGGUGGCAAAGCACAAUUUAGCAACAUAUGAGAACAAUCACAACUAGAAUGUCAUGUUAGUUAGAAAUCAUACCAAUAGGUCGCAAAGCAGCAUAAAACUUGCUAGAAAUUGUGGGACCAUAUAUUUCACAGGCUAAUAAGAAGAUGACACAUGGAAAAGGAAUAUUCCUUCAGUCAAACUAAUUACCCUAAUUAAUUCCUAUUUUAAUUAGAGAAAUUAUCUUUGAUUUAAGAUAGGAAUAUCUCCCUAAAUCAAGGAACCAAUCUCCACCAAAUCUCUUGGAGUAAUUUCUAUCAUCUUUUUGGGGAAGAAUAAUCCAAACCAAAUAAGGAUUAUUCUCUCAAAACCUUAGCACACAAGGAGGCUAUAAAUACAUGGCUACAUAAGGCAUUCAAGGUAAUUCCAAAAACCCUACAAAAAUCCUCUCUAUCUCAUUGUCGUCGCCACUCCCUUUCUCCUCUCUCCCACAUGGCUAAGUGCCACCACACACAGUUCCGGCCAAUCGGCCCUCCUCGUGAGAGAAAAUUCCAUCCAUUUUAGCUAUUGCCACAUCUUUUCUCAAAGAUCCAAUUGAACUAACAUAGGCAUCAAAGAAACACCCCCCCUCGGGUGUGGUCUAUUUAUUUUGUAGGGAUUGAGGAAGAGAGAGAAGGAAGCUCGAAAGGAAAAGAAUAUACACGCAAAUAUUCUCUUGUGAGAAAUUUGUACAAACAGAAAUUUCCUUGGAGUUGUCAACUAGAGAUCUUCUUCUCUUGAUAGUGGUUGGCUAACCUAUUUCCUUGGUUGCGAAGAUAACUUGGCGUGCAAGAAUUCUAGUUGCAAAAGUAGUCCUAUUUUAGCUCCAUGGAAAUCCUUGACAAAUCAUAUAAUAUCGUAAGCAAUUGGCAAAAGGAUGAAUAUAUAUUUAUUUCUAUCAAAAUAGAGUCAAUAUUAGCCAUAUUUUUUUCUAUAUUAAAUGUUGCAUGAAUCCAAAACAUUAUCUUGUAUUUCAAGCAAAUAUCUUCAAGAAUUUCCUCAAUUUGACAUGCACAACAAGUAAUUUCCUUGAAAUCCUAUAGAUCACGUAUUUUGGUCAUAAAUGGGCAAAAAUGCAAAUUUUGGUUCAAACAAUAUCAAAUGAGCGUGUGUGGCUGAAGACAAUUUCGUGCGGUUAUCUCUUACUGGGUCCAUGUGUCAUUAUGUUAUUAGCUUGAGAAUUUUUUGCUCCCACAUAUUCGCCCUAUCUCUUCCAAUCCCAAGAUUUCAUGCUUGCACAAAUCUGGAAGAGACACAUCUCAUUGCCUUUUGAAAAUCUUCACCAUUCCUAGUUCCAAGCUAGUUCCAAACUAGGUUUGGGUACAUACUUAUUUUCGGUCUCAUCUUUAUAGACCGCAACUGGAAGAUGGAGACCUUCAAGGGGAUAAUGACUAUUUCUAUAUUCCCACUAAGUUUUUCCUCAUUAAGUAUCUUAUAAUUCUGUCUACUUUGAAUUAUUUUUCUCGUUUCUUAAGAUUGUAGUAUGACCCUUUGUGUGCAUCAAGGCUCUUUCUUAUCACAAAGGAAUUCUCUUCUCUUUGAAAAGUUCAAUGUGGACAAUGCUAUUGGUCUUCCAAAGAAGUGGCAUCACUGAAGAUGGUUGCAGAGUCCUUAUAGGCCUAUAAAUGUGGGUCUUCCUCGUAGGAAAACUGUUGAAGGUGUCCUUUCCAAUAUUUAGAUGCCUCUCCAAGGCCUUUGCCUCGUUUGGUCAGGUUGGGCCUUUUCCUGUUGUUUUUGAAGAUGUUUGAGCAGACGAAAGUGACUCUCAUGCUCCUCCCCUUUCUUCAUGGAGGAAGAAGGGUUAUGCCUUUGGUGUCUCUACUAGUGGCAUGAGGGUUCUACUAAAAAGAAAUUUUUGAGGAAGGCGGUGGGCUCCUUUGCUGAGUGUGCCGCUAUAGUUGGACAAUGUAUAAUUUUUUUUAGUUUUUGUUUUUGUUGAGAAAUUCUAUGAUUGCAUUCAUAAUUCAGCCAAAAAAAUCAUUAGUCACAAAAUUUCAUUACAACGGAGCGAUCUAACAUUAAAAUUAAGACAAUCCGGGCUCCUCCACUAAGGGUGAAAAUUAAGAACAACAAAAAAUAGAUAAAGGAUGAAAAAACCGAGCAUACAAAUAAAACUUCCACAGAAGAGAGGUGCAAAGCUCUCACAAAUGAGAGGUGAAAAAGUAUCACAAAAGGAGAGGUGAAUGAUAAGUCAUUUAUAUAUCAUAUAAAUUUACUCUUUUCACUUAGAUAUUGUAUGCAAAAGUUUAUUGUUUUAUAGAGAUCUUCACAUAUUCCAGCUUUUGUGUUUUUAGAAACUCGAAAAUGCCAAAAAUUGAGAAAUUAUUUUUUACUCAGAGUUUUGGGAUGCAACUACUUGGAGAUAAAAACUAAGAGGUCAAGGGACGUUGUUUCAAAAUUUGAGUGUUAUUAGGCCAGCCAACUGUUCAGAACGAGUUGUUAAAGUCAGGACAUGUGCCAUACGGGCAGAUUAGAGCUGUUGGGCUUAAGGAUAUUUUAGUCAAGUUUAUGGGAUUUGUCUUGGAAAAUAUUUGUCAUACAAAAUGUAGCUGAGGCCAAUAUGUUUUUAAUGACAUCUUACACGUUAAAGUUGGUGAAAAGUAAGCCCUCCAAAAGCCCAAAAUCGGAAUCUCUGCUAUAAUUCACAAAUAAUUAGGAAAGCUGACUUGUACUUUCUAUUUUUUAUUUUUCCUAUAUGGUUAAAGUUUGUUUGCCAUUCUUGCCUUGCAAGUUAAGUUAUUUGAGGUUUCAUGACCCGUUUCAUCUAGAAGAGAAUACUGCGCUUUGUGUGUGCAUGCAACGUUGUAUUUCAAGGUUUUCUCUUUCACUCUUAUGAUAUUAUUUUGUGUUUUAAUUAUGUUCAUGUGUAACUAAACUUUAAUCUAAUGCGGGGUUAAGCCCUAGCAUGAUGAUAUAGUACUGUACAUUGAUUUAUCCAUAUAUUAAUGUGAUUUUGUGUUUGACUUUUAAUUGCCGAGAUUUAUACUGGCCAUUAUGAUAUAUGACUAGGUUAUAUGAUGAAAAAUUGAGUGAAUGCCACACUGAUUUUGAGUAUGCUUCUAGCAAUUAAAAGGUGUGAUUACUUAUGGUAAAUUCCAUGGUAUAAGAAUUACAUGAUUUAUUUAGUUACUCAUGUUCAUCGUACUUUUCAUGUUUAUAUCUAGCCUAAUGCCAUAAUGAGAUUGCAUGUUGUAGGAAUUAUUCAGCCUAAAUGCCAUAGGGAGAAUAAAUGUAAGUGCUAUAUUGGAUUGCUUGUGGUGGACACCUGGCCUUAGUAUGUUAUUUUCCUCAUUUUCUCAAUCAAUUAAUUAUCCUUCAAAACUUCCUUUCCAAUUUGUGUUUUAUUUUAUUCGCAUUGAAUCUUAAAAGUAAUAACCUUUGCUAUCCUAAUAAUAGCAUUCUUCUAUUGCGAGUAUAUAUAGCGUUUUAACCUCUGUUUUGUAGGUGGCUAAAAUCUUAUCACAAUUUUUGGCGCCGUUGUCGGGAACUGAAGAUCAAUCAUUAUUUAGUUUAUGCUGAGUACUUUACUUUGUUUAUUUUGUUUAAUUUUAAUUUAUUAAUUAGCCGUGUGUGUCUUGUGUAGUUUAUGGUGAGUAGUUGCAAAAGAUCCAAAAAUCCAAAUCUUAUCCCUUACGACUUUGAGCUUGAAAAAGCAGCAAAGAAGAACGCAAGAAACAAAGCUCCAUCUUAUACUACUCAUGAGGAUGGAUUAAUUAGUGAGUCUAAGAGUUCUACGCCUACUCCACCAAGACAGCGCACCAUCUCAAUGGCAUUGAAGAUUCCGACAGCUGGCCAACCCCUAAAAAGCUCCCUCUCUGCCAGAGCUAACAAUUCACUGUCCUGCAUCGUUUAUCCUGAAGUUGAAGAGGGAACUCAAUUUGAGUUAAAGCCAAGAAUUCUGAACUUGCCACCAUCUUUUCACGGCCUUCCCACGGAUGAUCCUUAUAUGCAUCUUAAGUUAUACCAUGAGACUGUGGAAAACAUAAUUAUUAAGGGAAUGGAACCUGAAUGCGUGAAUCGAAGGUUGUUUACUUACACUUUCAAAGGCAGAGCCAAAGCGUGGCUCUACUCAUUGCCUACAAAUAGCAUUAUCACUUGGCACUAGCUCCAAGAGAAAUUUUUGCUCAAAUUUUUCCAUUCUUCAAGAACACUAGCAUUGAAGAAAGAGAUCUUGGCAUUUUCACAAAAACCAGGAGAAGCAUUCCACGAAACUUGGGAUAGAUUUGGUGAGUUAUUCAUGGUGUCCACAUCACGGCCUACAUAGUGGGCUUUAGAUGCAGAUAUUUUAUGAUGGUCUCAAUGCAAUUACCAAAAGCAAUGUGAAUGCUUCUAUAGGAGGAUCUCUGAUGGAAAAGGCAACUAGACAAAUCUAUGAAUUAUAUGAUAUGCUUGCUACAAACUCUCAGCAGUGGUCUGAAGAUAAUACAAAGAAAAAUAGGUUUUUUUGAAAUCAAUCAAGCCACUCCCAAUGUCUCAACUCAAAUUGCUAGUUUGGAGAGAAAGAUUGAAGCCAUGAUGCAUGGUUCAUCAAUUUCAGUAACCUCACAAGUAUGCGCCAUAUGUAGUGUGAAGAAACACAUGAUAUUACUCAAUGCCCAAGCAAAGCCGCAUUUCCAGAGCUUGUUGAAGAGCAUGUUAAUGCUUUGAAUACUUUUAACGGACCAAAUAAUGACCCAUUUUCAUUCACUUACAAUCAGGGGUGAAGGAAUCAUCCAAACUUUGAAUGGGAAGGACAACAACAAUCUCGCUAGCUUCAGCCAUGCACAAAUUAGACUCAAACAUCCCAUGCAGAAAUAAAAAUAUCUACUUUGGAGCAAAUGAUGGCAAAACAACAAAAUACUCUAGAAUAGCAGCAAUCUACAAUGGAAGUUGUGACUUAACUAUUGCAAAAUCAGAGUGCUUCUGUUUCAAAGUUGGAAAUUCAGCUGGGUUAGUUAGCUAAUCAUGUUAAUGAUCGUGAAAAAGGGUUAUUCCCUAAUCAACUUGAACAAAACCCAAGAAAUCAAGAGCACCUCAAGGCUAUCAAGAUGCUUAGAAAGGGAAAAACUUUUGGCAAUAGGCCGAACAUUGAAUUUGAGGAAGAGGAAGCUCAUAUUGAAAAAGGCAUGCAACAUGUGUCAUCCAAUGCCACAACUGUGACAUCACUUGUGCCAAAUGCUAUGUCGGAAGCGCUAGCCCUUAUGCAAGAGCCUAACUCUCAUGAAAGCAAUGCCUGGGGUUUUGGUACCUUGUUUGCGCCCAUUAAAAAACUACCAUAUACUCUGCCAUUGCCUUUUCCUCAGAAAAGAUAGUGUGCUACCAAGGACCAACAAAUGUUGGAUUUCAUGAAGACACUUACUAAAGUGCAAAUUAACUUGCCACUACUUGAUAGAGCAUGAGAAGGUCAUACUUACAGAGCAAUGUAGCGUUGUGCUCCUUAAGAAACUACCACCUAAAAAGCCAGAUCCAAGGAGUUUUACAAUUUCUUGCACAAUUGGAAAUUCUCAAUUUGAAAAAGUUUUAAUUGAUCUAGGAGCUAGCAUUAAUUUGAUGCCUUUUUCAGUUUUUCAUAAACUAGAAAAAGGUUAACUUAAGCCAACUUCUAUAACUUUGCAAUAGGUCAGUCACUUACCCACUUGAAGUUCUAGAAAAUGUCAUCAUCAAAGUGGUUUGGCUCUACCUGCCAGUGUACUUUGUGGUCUUGAACAUGGAAGAAGACAAUGAUGUACCUUUGAUAUUUGGGAGACCUUUCAUGGCCACUGCUAGAACCUUAAUAGAUGUUGAAGAAAGCACCCUCACCAUACGCAUUACGGAUGAAUCAGUAGUUUUUAAAUUGUUUGAUAUUUCCAAGAAACUACAUAACAAAGAUGAUUGUUUUUGCAUUGAGGUAGUGAAAUUUGCGUUCUUGAGAAAUUCAACUUCAUAUAUUAUUCAAGCUUGCCUCACUAGACAAAAGAGUGCUUGGAAGAGGAAGAUGACAUGUUAGAGCUCAUUGCCGCACUUGACAAAGCUCCAAUUCAUUAUCCAAUUAGGCGCCAUUCCUUUGAAGCUCUUUGUCCACCAAAGCCACCCCUCCCACCUUCCAUUAAGUGACCACCAAGGCCGGAACUCAGACCAUGACUAGUUCAUCUUAAGUAUGCAUAUUUGCAUGCCUCAAACACGUUACCAGUAAUCAUUGUAGUAGACUUGAAUGAGACUGAGGAAGAUAAAUUGUUGAGAUUUUUUAGGGAAUACAAGAUAGCCAUUGGAUGGACUAUUGUAGACAUUAAAUGUAUUAGCCCCGCCAUGUGCAUAUACAUUAAAGGUAUUAGUCCCGCCAUGUGUUUGCACAUAAUACUGUUAAAAGCAGAUGCUAAACCUACUAUUGAAGCUUAAAGGCGUCUCAAUCCCAAUAUGAAGGAAGUAGUAAGAGUUGAGGUCAUGAAGCUACUUGAUGUUGGCGUGAUAUAUCCAAUUUUAGACAAUUCAUGGGUGAGUCCUACCUAAGUGCCAAAGAAGUUUGGAAUUACUGGAGUUUAGAAUGACAACAAUGAAUUGGUGCCUACAAGGUUGACUACAGGUUUGAGAGUUUAUAUCGACUACAGGAAGUUAUGCCUUAACAAGGAACGAUCACUUUUCUCUUCCAUUUAUGGAUCAAAUGCUUGAAAGAUUACCCUGCCAUUCUCCCCACUGCUUCCUUUAUGGUUAUUUAGACUAUAAUCAGAUUUCCAUUGCUCCAGAGGAUCAAGAAAAUACCACUUUUACAUGUUCUUUUGGCACUUUUGCCUAUAGGCGCACACCCUUUGGAUUGUGCAAUGCACCAGCCACAUUCCAAAGAUGCAUGAUGAGCAUCUUCUCAGAUAUGGUGGAAAAGAUUAUUGAGGUAUUCAUGGAUGACUUCUCAGCUGUUGGUAACUCUUUUAAUCAAUGUUUGGAAAAUCUUACAUUAUAUUUGGAAAGAUGCAAGGACACCAAUUUAAUUCUAAAUUGGGGAAAAUGCCUCUUUAUGGUGAGGCAUGGCAUUGUACUUUGUCAUUUGAUUUCAAGUAAAGGUAUCGAAGUUGAUAAUGCCAAGAUAGAUUUGAUUGCAAUGCUUCCACCACCAACUUCAGUGAAGGACAUCAUAAGUUUUCUUGGUCACACACAUUUCUAUAGAAGGUUCAUUAAAGACUUUUCAAAAAUCAGCAGCCUUUUAUGUCAUCUUCUUACCAAAUACGUGCCAUUUGUGUUUAAUGAAGCCUGUCUUAAAGCCUUCAACACGUUAAAGAAGCUUCUUACUUCUGCAGCAAUUAUCCAAGCUCUGGAUUAGGAUUUAUCGUUUGAAUUCAUGUGUGACACAUCAGACUAUGCUUUAGGUGCUAUUCUUGGCCAAGGGAAGGAGAAGCUGUAACACCUCAGUUCGGAAAAGAAAAAAAGUAUGUCAAUUAAUUAUUUGUAGUGAAAUUACAUUUUUGCCCUUGAGUGUAGGGACACUUUAGUCACUUUUUAUUCAGGAAGGACUUUGGAAAAUUGAGUGGUACUAUUGCGUAGAGCUCGAUGAUACAUGUUCGUAGACAUGUGGCACACCCAGUUCCGAGUUGUAACGAAGGAGGAAAGGUCUAGAAACAAAAAGGACAUAAUGAGAAUUUUCAAUUUGUUACUGCUAUAGUACUCGUUACAAUAACCGGGGUUGCUUUUUAUUUUUCUCCUUCCUUCUUUUUCCCCCCAACAUUUCUUCUUCCUCUCUUCUCUUGCAACAGUCACUAUAGCAACAAUGACUGUUUGACUUCUCAGCCACCAAUUGACGUCGUCGUGCAUCGGUUGGCCGUGCCACCUUCACAAGAAAUGCUCCUCUUGUCCUCCUCUACAAAACUCAAAACCCGAUCCGAUUCAUUGACGGUGAGCUCAAAUUGAAGCUGAGAAAAGGGUUAGGUUUUUCAGAGAUGUUCUAGCGUUUUCCAGCGAUUUCGAAGGCCAAAUCAGUCGACUAAGGUAUGGAAAUUCAUCCCCUUAUUAUGCUCUACCUGUUUAUGUAGUUAGUGUGGGUUAUUUUUGGAGUUUUGGACAUUGAUUUAAAUACCCAUUUUGGGCAAACGGUUUUGGCCGUUUUUCACCUAUUUUCGGCCACUUUUUGGCCAUUGUCCGAGACCAAAAGUUGCUUCCCUUGUUAGUCCGAUAGGUUUUGGCCGGUGGUUUGGAGAUUUUCUGUAGCCAAAAAAUCUCUCAAGACACCCACCGCUGCCAAUGGUAGAUGGCUGCGUGUGGGCUACUUGGUGGCGGUUCUUAGAGUUCCAAAAUACUCAUCAUGUUGUCCCGAGCACGACGGUAUGCUCGGAUUAGCAAUUGAAUACUGUUUGACUAUCGAACAGAUAUUACGCCUCUUAGGCGAUAUAUGGGUUUGAUAGGUUCGGACCUUCCGAUCAGUCUCAUUUUCAAAUAUGUUGUUCCUUAUAUCUCUAAGAUCGUGUAGAAACUGGUUGAUCGAGAAUCGGAGUCCCGGAUACUCCGAAUCAAUAAUUUUUAUGGUUAAGUAGUAAGUUGACGUCCGAUCGUGUGAUCAUGAGUGAUCUGAUCGCUCGAUUGGGACCAAGCUCUCGAGACGUGUUAUGUAGACUUGUAGGACUUAUAGGAACUUUCGGAUCGGAAAUCAUAGGUUGUGGGUCCCGCGGGCCCAAUUGGUCAAAUUUCGCCAUCAGGGUCAAACCGAACGUUGGAUCAUGAUGAGACUUUUAGGAUGGGUUUAAAUCAUGGUUUUGGACCAAUAGGAAUCGUCGUAUAACAAAUUGAGGUUAUGGUCCCUACGAGCCCAGUUGACUUAGAUAGUUGGCUUUGUCGGCUCUUUUGAGACCAUUUAGUAGUUGUAAUUGUAAUUAGAUGUUUGUUUUAAAAUGUUAUUAUAUUGUGAGAGUUUUAGUAAAUGUUCAUAAAUUAUUAUGCAAUCGCUUUUACUUUCCAAGCAUGUUAUAUUAUGUUUAAUCGUGUGGAGUUGGGAAUGGCUUGGAUAACCGGUUUUGGCAUGAAUAAGGAAUUAAUUAAAUGCUUGAUUAUGUCUAUAUUUAAAAACAUGCUCGGCGGCUUGAAAUCGGUGAAUUAUGGAUACUAGUUUUCUCAAUAGUAUGUUGUACAUAUUUGAAUGUAGUUUGAGAACAGUUUUGAAAGAUUAUGCAUGGUCAAAUUCAAGUUAAGAAAUGUUGGGAUUGAUCUCGUUUUAAAAAGAGAUUUUUCGUUAUCUAUUUAAGAACUGAUUUUUGGAAAGUUGAGGAAGGAUUUGGAAAAUAGAUUUGUGAAUGUGGAUUGAAAAAAAGAGUAAUUUUAUGAUAAGUUUUGGAAAAUGGUUUUCAAACCCACCACAGGAGUACUCCCCCACCACCCCUCUCCCCCCAAGUUGCCUUCAGAACAGUCUAGUCAUUUAUGAAAAUGCCCCAGGAGGGACGCCUAAAUCAUGUAGUGCGAGGAUUUGCGUUCUCAGGUUGAUUAUAUCUUCCUGAGUCCUAUGAGGGGAUUUGAUAGAUAUGCAUUCUCAGGCUGACUACAUGUCCCCUGAGUUCUAUGAGGAUAUGCAUUCUCGGGAUGACGAAGUGUCCCCUGAGUUCUGCAAGGAUAUGCAUUCUCGUGUUGACCACGUGUCCCUCGAGUUCUGUGAGGAUGUAACAUAUAUGACACUUGGAAUUGAAUGAAUAUUAUUGGAAUUGACGGAUUAUGAUUGGGGGUACGCCUGUUAUAAAAAAUAAUAGUUUUCCUCUUUCCGUAAAGCGAAAUACAAAACAUUUAUAUUAUAAAUAACAUAUAAACAAAUUGGAAAGUUUUAAGGUAUAAUGAAAUUUAAGAAAACAAAAUAAUAGGUAAGUAAAGGAAAAUAAAUAAUAAGUAAGAAGGUAAGUUUGGUACGGUGAAGCACGUCAAAGACGCUGUCCUAAAGCCUUUGUAGCCUCCCUACGUACAGGUACUGACGGUCUACAAGAUUCCAAGAUACGACCCCUUGUACACAAACUCAAGAUCCGCUAUGAGCACGUUUACAGACAGAUAUAGGUAUCCAAGUCACAUAACCAUUGCCCAAAAUAAUAAUAAUAUAAAGUAGAGAAUAUAUGUAAAAGUAGACAAUGAGAGAAUUAGAAUGUGUAUGUGAUAUUCUGAUAAUGUAUUGUAAUAUCGUGUGUGUAUCAAAUGUGAAUGAGGAGUGGCCUUUUAUAGGCAUCCAAAAUUAUGUAACUUUCACCAACCAUAAAAGUUCACCAACCAAAAAAUUAAAGCUUUCACCAACCAGAAAUAAAACCUGAAUAUUAAAUAUUUAGAACCCCCACAAUAAAUAAAAUAAAACAGCCAAGAUAAUUAAAUAAAUAAAACGGUUAAAUUUACCUUCGUACUUAUUGGUGAAAGUUUUAAUACAUGUUUUCAGAUUUAUGAGAUAAGGAUUGAGAGUUUUCUAAGUUUUAAGAUAUUUAUACAAUUCACAACUAUUUUCUUAGCUGAUGAGUUUGUUUUUAGAUGUGAAAGAUUGAAGCAUGUUUUAUUCAAACCGUUGAUAUUAAUGUUAAGGUUUCACGUGGCGAAUGUUAUUUUAAUAAUUUUCUCAUUUUCCUACUUAUCUGUAAUGAGCUAUUAUAUAUAUGUAUUUGUAUAUACACAUAUGUGUUGGGUGGAAGAUUGUUCUAAAAUCAAUAUCUUUUGCUUAAGUUUCAGCAGAUUGAUUAGAGUUUGAAGCUUUUGGUUUUAGGAAAGUGUGAAGAAAUAUUUAAUUCAUGUGCUUACAUGUGGGUUGAACUUUGUUUUCUUGUAUAAAGAAUUACGUGUAGCUUGAUCCCUCAGUAAGGGUACGUAGGCAACCUAGGGGCAGUCGUAGGUUUAUGAUUGGGUUGUUUUGUUCAGUUUUGUAAACUUGAAUUGCUGAAUGCUUGGGAAAUUAUUUGAGUUUGCUGUGCAGGCAGAUUUCUGGUUUUUGAGCUUUUUCAAGGGAGACUUUGCUGGUUUUUGCGGUAGAAGUUAAACCCUAAAGAAGCUUUUGGAUUAGGACAAGAAGGGUAUUUUGGUUAUUUGUGCCCGACACCUACCAUGUGUCGUACACACACAAGGUUCGACUCGGAUUCCAAAGUAAAAUUUGGGUCGGGUCCAAUCAGAAGCUGCCUCACGUUAUCUAUUAUGCAAGCCGUACCUUAAAUGAUUCUCAACUUAAUUAUUCAACUACAGAAAAAGAGCUCAUUGCUUUGAUUUUGCUUUGGAGAAAUUUCAAUCCUAUUGAGUUGGUUCCAAAGUGAUUAUUUACACUAACCAUGCAGCCCUCAAAUACUUGUUAUAAAAAUAAAAAUAAAAAGGCAAAGCCGAGAUUGGUUAGAUGGGUGCUUCUAUUACAAGAAUUUGAUUCGGAGAUUCGUUCGAAAAUGUUGUAACAGACCAUUUGUCCAUAUUAGUUCACACUCAUGAUGAAAAAAAUGAUUUACUUCCUUUGCAAGAGAUAUUUCCGGAUGAGAAACUCUUCAACAUUAGUUCUACACUACCAUGGUAUGUAGACAUAGUUAACUAUCUCGCCUGUGGGGUAGUUCCGAAGGAUUUUACAUAUCAAUAGAGGAAGAAGUUUUUAGCUACUAUGAAGUACAACUUUUGGGAUGAUCUCUGCCUUUACAAGCACUGUCCAGAUCAGAUUAUUCGAAGAUGUGUGCCUGCGGAGAAGCAAGGAAAUAUUUUGAAAUUCUCUCAUCAUUAUGCUUGUGGAGGUCAUUUCGGUCCCAAGAGAACUGCAACCAAAAUUCUUGAAGUGGUUUCUUAUGACCAACAUUGUUUAAAGAUGCUUAUCAUUGGUGCCAAGCGUGUGAUAAAUGUCAGAGAGUUGGAAAUUAGUCUUGUAGUAAUGAAAUGCCUCCAAAAAGUAUCUUAAUUGUGCAAGUAUUUGAUGUUUGGGGUAUAGAUUUCAUGCGACCUUUCCCUUCAUCUCAUGGUAACCAGUAUAUUUUAGUGGUUGUUGAUUAUGUAUCUAAGUGGGUUGAAGCCAUUGCGUCUCCAACAAACAAAGCCUCAGUUGUCACGAGUUUUCUUCAAGGAACCAUUUUUCCCAAAUUUGGAACUCCUAGAGAUAUAAUCAGGGAUGAGGGCACACAUUUUAUUAAUCGUGCUUUUGCUUCUAUGCUUACAAAAUAUAACAUCCUCACAGAGUUGCAACAGCCUAUAACCUCUUCUAGAAAAUACUGGAGUGUGAAGCGUACUGAUGCAUUAUAGGCGUAUUGAACAGCCUUCAAGACUCCAAUUGGCAUAUCCUUUUUUCAUUUAGUUUAUGGGAAGGGGUUGCAAUGGUGCAAACUAAUCCUUACUCACAUGUCAAAUUAGAACUCAUAUGUCUUUACUCACAUGUCAAACUAGAACUCAUAGAUUGCAAUUGAGCAAACUAAUCCUUAGACCUGAGACAUCAUAGAUGUCUUGUGGCUAUAUUGUUUGUCUUUGAGGGUAUCAUACAGUUGUGUUGUAGGAGACAUGACCUAAAAGUGUUUAUCAGGACUCUAAUAAAUUCAGGGAGGCAAAUGAAUGUGCAAUAAGGAAUCUCUGUUCUCAAUAAAGAGAAAGACUGCUCCAAUGAUAUGAUUGAUCAAAUCUCUACGCGGAGUAGUGGAUAAGAUUUGAAAGAAGAAGUCUUCAAAUCUUACCAGGAUAAUCAUAUAAAGGAAUAAUUCGCAUUAGGAUACAUUAGAUUACAUUAUCUAAUAAUGUGAAUAAGGAGUAUUGUAUAAGAGAAUGAUUCAAUUGCACGAUCAUUCCAAUUUGAUUAGGUUCUUCCCUACACCUAUUUAGCUCGGAUAACCAUGACAUGUUGCUAGACGUCAACUAUGAUUUGUGAAGUCCUAAAAGGUUCAAUCAUAAUUGAGCUUCACUAACAAGAAGAAUUAAAUAGUGAGAUUAACUCAUUAACUCACAAGUCAACUAAGAGAAGUUGAGUCUACCCACUACCUUACUAAAAGGAACCUACAGAUCGCACACCGAAAAAUGUGAUUAGAGGAACAAAUGAAGAGAAAAGAAACUAGGAGUCAAAAGUCAAUGGUCAAAGUCAACAUAUUUGACCAAAGUAAUUGACUGAGUCAAAUAGUAAAACUAUAAGUAUAACUUUAAUGGUUAAGUUAUAAUUCAUAAUUAAGAGUUAAUUAUGGAAUUAACUUUGACAUGAGGAAUGGGAUUGGGCGGCAAAAUACCCAAAAGUCCUUUGGCCCCAAGGAUAAGUGUUGUAUGACAACAUAAAUCUAAAGACCCAAGUCAAGCCCACCUUUCCCACAUGGCCAGCCAUAGAGAGAGCUUUCUCUCUCUCUCUCCCUUUGUGUGCUUUUUCCUAUAAAAGCUAAACUUGACUCAAAACCUAGUAAGAGAGCCCUCUCUCUCCCUCUGUAUUCUUUUUCCUAUAAAAGCUAACUUGACUCAAAACCUACUAAGGGUUUUGACAUUCCACUGUUGGGUUUUUUAUGUGUAGAAGAGACAUCUUCCCUCUCAUCUUCCUUAGCCAAAAAUCAAUCCAAUCUAGAGGAGGUCUAGCAUCUAAGUCUUCUAGGUUGAUUUCUCUUUAUCUCUAGUCCAUUUUGGUGUGGUGAGGUAGAGGACUUCAAUCUUGGAGUCUUAGGUUGAGGAGCUUGUAAGAAGAGGAAGAAAGAAACUUUUUUUCUUACGAAGGUGUUCAUUCUUAGCUUGUCCAAAAAAUAGUCUUCAAGGGUAAAAUCUUAUCAUUUCUUCUUUUCUUUUUUCUUUUUUUUGUGCUCAAAUAGACUAGAUCAUAAGAUAUUUGGGUUAAAACGAAAAAUACUUAGUUCAACUAGAAUAAGCAUAAUUAAUCCAUCAUUAUGAAUGUUUAUAUGUUAUAUGUUGUGGCUCAAUUCAUUUUCAAGUCAUGAGAUGUAAAUGUUUCCUUCAAAUAAACAGCGAAGUGUAAGAAGUCUUAGUAGAGAUAGAGUUUGUUUCAGAAUUUUGUAUGGGCUUAUCAAGGAAGAGGCAAGGGGAUGUCAACAGAAGUUGUUCACAGAUGGUAACCUAGUACUUCAUAAAAUUGCAAUCCGUAAUCAAUUUCAAUUGUUUGAUUGUUCAAUUUCUAAAGGCAAGAAGAUCCUUCACAUUUUUACCCUUAACCGCGUGGGUGUUUUUUGGACGAAGAAAUAGGCCAACUUAAAAAAAAUGUCUGAUCAAUUUUUAUUUGGGAGCUUCACUAAUAUACCCAAAAUAGGAGCUGAAAUUAUUUAUAAAAAAAACCCCACAUAGAAAAAACUUUAUAAACACAUUCAAAACCCAUUUAUUAAAUAACAAAUUAGUGUUGAAGUUUCAAUAAAUUACAGCACUGCCACUAUCAAGCCCAAUAGAUAAAAACUCAAAAAGCACCCAAAACAACCCCAACCCAAAUUUAUAAACAAGCCCAAACAUUUUACCAUCUCGAAAAUCGUAACUUUUGUCCACAAAAAAAAAGUAAACUGUAACUUAACUGCCAGCACGCGCGCCUUAUUAAGUCAUAUCUGCAAAACGUCUCUUCACUCAGCGUCUUCAUCAAAUCGUCUGCAAAGCCGAGACUCCAUAACCACCACCAAGCUUCAUCUACUUUCAAAAACAAACACCAGACAUUGACCUCCACCUUCAAAACCAAGACAAAAUUUCAGAGAACAAUUUCAACAAGAAAACGCUUCAAAGGUAAGACAUUUACAAACCAAACCUUUACUGUAAUAUUGAUUAUUUGCUAUAACGAUCCAGUCUAGGGUAAUAACAGUAUUUUAGAUUCAAAUGAAGGACAAAAUCUUGAAACUAUAUUGGAUUUCACUAUUGGACUAAAUGCAUAUGACCAUUAUUCUAGUCACUAAUUUAGUCGUUAGUUUACUGUCAUGUUGAUUAAUGGCUAUAAAGUUUCAGGAUAGGGUAAUAACACUGAUUGUACACUAUGAAAUCCUAUUUGUAAUGCAUGUCUACCACUAUAAAGUUCCAGUAUAGGGUAAUAAUACUACUUGUUUCCUAUGAAAUCCCCUUCGUAAUGCUUGUCUACCACUGUAAAGUUCCAGUAUAUGGUAAUAACACUGAUUGUUCCCAAUGAAAUCCUAUUUAUAACACAUGUUUGCCACUGUAAAGUUCCAGUAUAGGGUAAUAACACUACUAGUUCCCUAUGAAAUCCUAUUUCUAGUGCAUUUCUACCACUGUCAAGUUCCAGUAUAUGGUAUUAACAUUGAUACUUUACUGUCAUGUUCCUAUUUCUAAUACAGGUAUAUUAAUUAAAAGAUGAAGAAAUAACAAACCAGAAGAACCUCCAAACCAAAAGGACAACAGCCAUCAUCCAAAACAAAAACAAACAAGAAGCCAAGCAGAUAGGAGGACCCAAAUUAUGUGCAAAUCAAGAGCAACAUGCUCUCUUUUGCAACAACAAUUGACAACAUCAGACAAAGACUUGAACAUCGGCACGAUGUCUUACACUGCUAUCAAAGACACCUUUUGGACAUUGAUAGAAGCAUAUAUCCUGAGAAGGUUAACAAAGGUAGAGUGCAUGAAGUCUAACUAUGACAUUGUGAGACUCAUACUAGUUUAUGACACAAAGAGAAAGAAGUUCAAGUUUAAUGAUGGUGACAGUGAGAUGAAAAGCCAAGAUGUGGCUGAAAUUUUUGGCUUGCCAAAAAGAGGCAAGAAGCUACCAAGCACAACAACCUCAACAAGGCCAGAUUUGCAUUUUGUAAAGAAAUACUUCACGGGUUAUAAGAAGAUAACAAAGACUUCAAUUGACAAUUGCUUGAACUUAGCACUUGAAGAUGAAACAGAAUAGGGUGCUAUGGAUAUAACAAGAUUGAUAAUCCUACAACUCUUCAUGACCAAUCUCUUCUGCAACUCUGGUUGUACACUUGCUUGGACAUGUACAACCACAAUAGACAUUUUAGAAGAGAUGGGGAAAUAUAAUUGGGCUCAAUGAGUUUUGGACUACAUGUAUUUUGGAUUAGAACAAGCAAAGAAGAACAAGAAGGACAAAAAAAAGCAACCAAGCAUGAGUGGCUGCCUAAUCCUAAUACCGAUAAGAACACAAAUCUCCAAACUGCAAAUUCAUAGCAUUACUCUAAUGAUAUGAAUUGACACGUGAUAUUGCAAAAAAAAAAUUGUGCAGUAUUGGCUGUGUCAAAGAUCUAACCUGCUCACUCCAAUUCCUGGAAAAGAACAAAUGACACCAGCCGCUGUCAAAUGGAGUUUUCAAGAACUCAACGCGAAACUUCAUCAUCUAAAGAACAACCAAAUAAAAGUAAUAUUUCCUUUCAAAUAAUCUGCAGCUGAUAUGACAACACUGUUAAUACCAUGUCAUAGACAUACAUUCUUAAUACCAUGUCAUAGAAGUAAACUAUGAAUACCAUGUCACACAGGUAAACUAUGAAUACCAUUUCAUAGAAGUACACUAUUAAAAUCAUGUCAUAGAAUUACACUCUUAAUACCAUGUCAUAGAAGUACACUCUUAAUACUAACUCUACUCAACAAACAGAUAAAAGCACUAAAGGUCAAGAGCCGGAUGAUGAUUCUGAAGAAGAGAAUGAAGAGAAUGAUGAUGAUUCUAAAGAAGAGAGUGAAGAGGAGGAUGAUGUUGCUGAAGAAGUGAAUGAAAAGCAUGAUGAUGAUGCUGAAGAAGAAAAAGAGGAGAAGGAUGAUGCUGCUGAAGAGGUGAAUGAAGAGCAUGGUGAUGCUGCUGAAGAAGAAAAUGAAGAGGAGGAGGAUGCUGAAGUGAAUGAAGAGCAUGAUGAUGCUGCAGGCCAGCAACACCACCAGCUACAAGAAGACCUCCAAACUGAAAUCCCAGAAUACCGGAAUUAAACGUUGUUUGAGGAAAUUGUUAGAUCAGUCCCAUAAUACAAGGAGGAUGAAAUACAGCUUACAAAAGAGUAUAUGAUGGCAAUCAAUAAUGCUACUAAAUAUUGGACAAAUAAAUGAGAACAUUAAAAGAUCCAUGAUGCAAUAGCAUCCUGCAUAAAAAAGAAUAAAUUGAUUCAAAUGCUAUACAAUAAAAAAGAAGAAUUAAGGAAGCAUCAAUAGCAAUUACAGAAGAUGGUCAAGGAAGCAGCAUAUCACAAGAAUGCCAUACAACUUGAUGUUUAUGAGGAAAAACCCUACAUGACAAAGCUGCAGCUAGAAAAUGAUCAACUUUUUGCAGAGAAGAUUUCCUACUUGGACAUUAUUAAUGAAAAGGAAGCUGUUAUUGCCUCGUUGAGAGAUCAAAAAUUAGCGCAAGAACUGCAGAGUGAAUACGAUAAAGGAGAAAAGAAAGAAGGUGAAGCAGAAAAGAUAAUAUCAAGAAAACCAGAUUCCUCAUUCCCUAAAGCAGACACGAGAGCACAAAAAAAACCUCAAAAACCAACCAAAUCAAAGAAUAGGGCCAAAGGUUCAUUCCUGCAAUGGAAUACAUAUCAGGUCUACAACAUGCUGGAUGAACUCUCACAAGAAAGUUGAGAAAUUACUAGUAAAAUUCAAUUGAUGGGUAAGGCAAUGUGUUUCAUUUAUUUUCAAUGCAAGAUGCUAUUAUUGAACAUGCAUUAGAAAAUAGGAUUUCAUUGUGUUAUGACCCUAUACUUGAACUUUACAGGGAGUAGACAUGCAUUAGAUAUAGGAUUUCAGAGGAAUCUAGUAGUGUUAUUACCCUAUACUGGAACUUUGCAGUGAUAGAUAUGCAUUAGAUAUAGGAUUUCAUAGGAUACAAGCAGUGUUAUUACCGUAUACUGGAACUUUAUUGAACAGUUCUUUCACUUUUAUUGACAUUUUUUCUAACUACAAAUAUUGUUACAGCAUUGCUUUUUGGCAAGGGACAAGCAUUUUGUUCAAAGAUGACAUACCAAGCUUAUUAAGAGAUACUGAAAUUUAUGGACAAAUCAUAGAUGCUUAUGCCGAGAUACUUCAUCAUGAUGAAAAGAAGAACCCUGAAAGACAACAGAAUGCAUACAUCACGUGCUCCGCAUACGUAAGAACAUAAUUAUCCCAUUACUUCUAGUAAAAAUCACAAAUUAUUCAUCUUCCUAUACAUUUCACAUUCUCUCUAAUGCCGAAACUAUUAAUCUUGCAAAGAUACCUCACAGGUAAAAUGCACCCAAAAACAUUCGAUGAAUAUUUUUUUCAAACUCCUCGAAUGCAUAGGGAAAACUUCAAAAGUGUUCAUACCAAUAACGGAUGGCGAACACCACACCCUGCUUGUCUUUGACACCAAUCCAUUGCAAUGGACUCACUACAACUCAUUGAGGGGGGGAACUGAGCAAACCGUUGAAUACUACAACAAAAAAGCAAUAAUUCUUGUAAGACAGACUCCUACUAUGAACUGUUAAUACAAGGCAUGAACAAAACAGUUUAACAAAAAUCAAUGAAGCUAACAACAUACUUGCCUACAAUGCAGGCAGAUGCAUCAAAUGUCUUCCUCAAUAGUGCCAAGGAAUGUGCUCCAACAAUUUUAGAAAAAAACAGCUUCACACUUCUAAAGUUCAAGAAGCCCGUCUACGAUGAAGAAUUGACCGACGAGAUUGCAAAACUUCUUCUGAACAUGAAAGUUACACCAGCAAUUGCUCAAACAAUACAAUAUCUAAUGAAACAUGCUCCCACCAAAUUCAACUUUAAGGAGGACAGGGAAUGCGCCCAACAACCUGAAAAGUCGUAAGUGUCACAAUAACACUUUUCUUCCCCCAAUUCAAAUUAAACUAUGAUUCACAAAAUGUUGCAUAUGUAUAUAUGUAUGAAUUUGCAGAAAUGAUUGUGGAGUAUUUGUUAUGUACUACAUGUAGUAGUUGUCACAAGGAAAAUAAAUUGAAAAAAGCUUGAGUACAGAGCCUGUGGGAAAUGAGAAAAGCAGGAAAAAAUUUGGUAUUUCACAAAAGGGAAUGAAGGAUGAAAGCAUGGAUUUCACAAAUUUUAGAACUAUAAAAUAGUAAAUGCCCAGCUUCUAACUUUCAAAUGUCAAAUUGUUAAUAUGUAGCUUCUAAAAAAAAAUAUUUUGUUGCUUCUUAACUUUCAAAUGUCAAAUAGUUACUGUGUAGUGAGAUUCAAAUGUAAGAAAGUGUUAUUGUGUAGUUUCUUCUAAAUUUCAAACUGCGCAUUAAUAGUGCAUUUCAACACGCGUAUUAACAAUGACUUUCACAAAGCCCAGCCUAAGUUGAGAAAAUCAAGGUCAAAAAUGAAAUAAAAACCAAAACAAAUCAAGCAAGCCAUUGAAAAAUACAGAGAAAAAAAAAGCCUAGUCUAAUUUGACCAAAAAAAAAGCCCAAAUAAACUAAAAAGUCUCACACAAAAAGAAGCCCACAAAACUCAACAAGCCAAUAAAGCCCAAUUUCACUAAGCCCAAUGAAAAAAAUAUAUAUAUCUAAGCCCAAUUUCACACGCACACACCCAAAUAGCGAAAAACCAACUCACCUCUCACUCCAAUCUUUGCGACACCAACUCCAAAAACAGGCGACAACCUCCAUAACAAUCCUACAGGAGACAAACUCCAUAACCACCAACUAACGAUAACUUCAUAACGAGAAAGCCGGCAAAUCGAAGUUACACUCUGCCAUAGCCAAAAGUCUUCAAAAUCGACACUACAAAACCCUAAAAAAGCAACUGAGCACAAGGACAACCCAGGAAAAAAGGAAGAAAAUUUCAUCCAUAAACAUCGACAGAAGGUACAAUCUCAAAAACCCACACUCACUUUCCACUUUUCAUCUUAAGAUUCUACUAACUAAUUCAAGAGUGCCACGUUUAAUACAAGUAACCAACGAAAAGGUCUAACAAUGACAGAAACAAACACUCAAGAUGCAAAAAGCACAGAAGACCAUCCCAAAUCAAACCAAGAAACUUCAGAAAUGGCUGACAAAGCAUCAGUAUCAAACUUCCAGGUAUUAUAAAAUCUCUUAACUUCAAAGUCCAAUAGCAAUGUUUUGACAUGUUUUGAAAAGACGCAUGUUUUGACUGCAAUGUAUAUGUUUCAUAACUGUUAAUACUUUGUCAUAGAACUUGAACUGUUAAUACUAUGUCACAACUGUUACUACUAUGCUCCUUGCUCUUCUAGUGCACUACGAAGUAGUGCACUUGAAGACCAAAAUAUAUAGCAUCCUUUGUUAAUCAAAAUCUGGGACUGCUAUGCAUCUUUCUCUUCUAGUGCACGCUGCUAUGCAACUUUCUCUUCUAGUGCACUGCGAAGCAGUGCACUUGAAGACCAAAAUAUAUAGCAUGCUUUGUUAAUCAAAAUCUGGGACUGCUAUGUAUCUUGCUCGCAGUGCACUUGAAGACCAAAAUAUGUAGCAUCCUUUGUUAAUCAAAAUCUGGGACUUCUAUGCAUCUUGCUCGCAGUGCACUUGAAGACCAAAAUAUAUAGCAUGCUUUGUUAAUCAAAAUCUGGGACUACUAUGUAUCUUGCUCGCAGUGCACUUGAAGACCAAAAUAUGUAGCAUCCUUUGUUAAUCAAAAUCUAGGACUUCUAUGCAUCUUGCUCUUCUAGUGCAUAGAAAGAGAAGCAUGAGGUUCAAAUGCAUAGAAGUAAAUGGUUAAUACCAUGUCAUAGAAGUAUUCAUAUUUAUGUUUCAUCUUUCUUUUGCUUAGUUAAAGUAACUUAUUUGUUUCACUUUGCGGGUGGUCAUAUGGAAAAAGGUAACAGGGUUGAAAUUAAAAAAAAAAAAAAGCAUACAAAAGGAUCCCAAGCUAGCAAAGCAUAAAACAGAAUUAACAAACACACAAGGCACACCACCAACAAUAGCAAAAGCCAAACCAUCCACACCCAAAUCCACAAAUACACUGAAACCAAAGAAAACAAUGAAGACCAAAAAAACACCAUCCAAAACACAAAAACCUCGACCAAACAGAAGCAAUAACCCAAAUUAUGUGCAGAUCAAGAGCAACAUGCUCACAUUUGACAACACAUUGCAAACGGUAAAAGACAAGCUUGCAGCAAGAAAGGAUGUCCUCAAGAUCCUACAAAAAAUGCCAUUCUGGAGCAUCAUCAAGGCUUAUAUGGAAGGUCAAUUAACCAAGGCAGAAUGCCAGAAGUCUAAUUAUCAAAUAAUUAGACUAAUCAAACUCUACAACCCCGCAACCAAAAUAUUCAAAUUCAGUGAAGGCAACGAAUAUGAAAUUACAAGCAACGAUGUGUCUGACAUCUUUGGAUUGCCAAACAAAGGAAACAAGUUCCCAAGCACAACAACUUCCACAAGAACAAAUUUGGGCUUUGAAAAGAAGUACUUCAAGAAUUCAAAAAAUAUCACAAAAAACCGAGGUUGAUCGGUUUCUGAACACAGCAAUAGCAUAUGACAGAAACAAGAAUGCAAUGGAUGUUGUGAGAUUGUUAAUCCUAGAGCUGUUCAUCACAAAUCUCUUUUGCAACUCUGGGCAACAAUGGCUUGGACCUUUUUGACAAUGAUUGACACCUUAGAAGCAAUGAACAGCUACAACUGGGCAAACGGAGUUUUAGAUUAUAUGCAUUUUGGACUGGACCAAGCCAUAAAAAAUAAAAAAGGACAAGACAAAUCAACCAAUUGUCAGUGGUUGCCUUGUGCUAAUCUUGGUAAAAAAACUACAUCCAUUUGUUAAUGCUAUUAUAUUAUUUGUUUUCAUGUGCAUUAACACUUUAUAUUGAAAAAAAUGUUUGUAGUAUUGGCUGUGUGAAAGAACUAACCUCAACUCCUGGAAGAGAAGAUCACAAACCAGCGGCUGUCAAAUAGAGCCUUCCGGAGCUCAAUAUCAAGCUGAAUAUUGCAAAAUAUGAAAACACUAAGGCAUUUUUCUUACUUCCAUAAACAUAUAUAAUGUUAGUACACCAUAAUUACUACUUACUCCAAUAAUUCAACAGAUAAAAGCUGCUGACAAUGAAAAAGAGGAAGAAGCAACAAAGACUGAUCAUGCAGACCAUGAAGAACAAGAAGAAAAUGAAGAGGAUGAUGACUUUGUUAUCACACUUAAAGAUUGGGUAAGAUAACCUACAAUGAUCCAACAUUUAUAUUUCAAAACUGAAUUGAUGGUGUACAAACACAUAUACAUGUAUAUAAAUUUGCUAAUACUCUUUUUUUCCUUUCUAAUAUUUGUGACAGUUAAAGAGUCAAACACAAAAAGGAAAAAAGUAGACUAUUAUUACCCAGAAACAGAACUUCAGCUUCCAUGAAAAUGUGGACCAAAGUGCAACCCAGACAAAAACUCCACAACAUGAGCAAAAUGAAGACAAUGCACAAUCAUUGGGAUGCAAAGCAGAUGAUGAAAUUGAAGAACCACCAGCACAAUCAUUGGGAUGAAAAGCAGAUGAUGAAAUUGAUGAUCAAGCAAUUGACCUUAGUGCAGACUCAAUGAUUGAGGAAGACACUGUUAAUGUCCAGCAACAGCAGCCAGAACUUGACAACCAGGAUGAAGACUUCGACACCAUUUUUAAAGACAUAGUGGGUUCAAUUCCAAAGUACUACAAGCAUGAAAUAGUCCCUACCCAUGAGAAAAUCCAAUAGCUGAAAGAAGCAGUCGACUAUUGGAUUGAAAAGGCACAUACUCGAAGGGAUUUGAUGCAGAUUGCUAUAGAAUCCUGCAUAAAGAAAAAUUCAUUCGUUCAACAAAUACGGACUGAAAAGGAAGAGUUGGAGCAACAAAUUAAAAUACUGAAAAAGCAGCUUGAGCAAGAGAAAAAAGAAAGUGCAAAAUUACAAGGGGAACUUCAUGCACUCAAAUCAAACAGGAGACAGCUACAGGAACAACAUGAACUACUUGAAGGGGAAAAGUUGUCCUGCAUUGAGAGCAUGAAAGAAAAAGACACUGUUAUUGCCUCUUUGAAACAUGUGAUGGGAAAAAAUUUCAAACAUGGUGAACAAGGAGAAAUUCCAAUGAAAGAACAAGCUGAUAAGGAGAAAAAAGAUGAGAGAAUAGCAGAAGAAAGUCAAUUGGAGAUGCAAGAAUCUCCUAAUGAUGAAGAUGAGAAUGCCGAUGAAAAAACUCCUGAAAACUCAGUUAUCAUGCAAGCGAAAGAAGCAGGAACACGGCAGUUAUGUUCUGGCAUCAAAAUAAUCAAAUACAUAAAAGACAGAAAGCCUGCAAAGAAACCAGACUACACAUACCCCGAAGCACAUAAGAAAUCCCGAUAAAGAGCAAGCCAAAGCGAAGAUGAAGCAGCCAACAAAAAAAAGGACAAAGAUACAUACCUUCAGUUGCACAUGUAUGAGGUCUACAACAGGCUGGAUGAAAUAUCAAAGAAGAAGUUGGAAAAUUACUGGAAAUCUGCAUCUAAUACUGAUGAGUAAGCCAAUCUGUCAUAGAAUUUCACUGUUAAUACUAUGUCGUAGAACUGUCAUAGAAUUUCACUGUUAAUACUAUGUCAUAUAAUUGUCUUGUUAUUAAACUAUUACGAGAUUAUUAUUUGUUGAAUUAUUAUUUAAACAACAUUAUUGUUGCAAAGACGUUUUUACCUACACAAUAGGACAAUAUUGUACAAGCACAACAUUGAAAAGCUGAUGGGAGAUGAUCUAAUUUCUGCACUAAUCAUCGAUGCUUAUGGAGAGACACUUAAUGAUGAUGCAAAGCAGAACCCUCAGAAACAAAAAAAAUGCAUAUUUGUCUGCCAAUACUAUGUAAGAUCACAUCUAAUACAUCAAAUUUAUAUCAUCAACAUGCUCACUAAUCACCAACACAUGACUUUUGCAUAUGUUUUUGCGAGGUGCUUCAUACAAGCUGACAUAUCAUGCUUUCUAUAUGCCACUCCUAGAAAAUAUUGGAAAAGUUGAUAGAGUGUUCAUACCAAUUACAAAUGAAAACCACCGUACGCCGCUUGUCUUAGACACCGGUGCAGCAAAAUGGACACACUUCAACUCAUUCAAGGGGACAUUAGAACAAACUCUCCAAUAUUAUCACAAAAAGGUAAUUGUUUUGGUAAGUAAGAUUGGUGAUUAACACUGUUAAUACAUAGGACACUAAAUUUAAAGGAAACUAAGCAUAUACUUGACUAUGAUGCAGGUUGAGACAGCAAAUAUAUUCCUCUGUCUUCUUAAGGAAUGUGUUGCAGCAUCACUGAAAACAAAACUCGUCCAAAUUCCUUAUUUGAAUGCCAAGAAGCCGAGAGAGCUGAAUGAAGCUUCAGCUAAAAUGAUAGCAAAAAUACUUGUCAGCAUCAAACUUACACCAGAAUGUGCUCAGACAUUGAAGUAUCUGAUUCGUCAUGAUACUACUAGCUUCAAGCUGACUGAGAACAAAGAAUGUCCCCAACAAGCAAACAAUUCGUAAGUUACGCAAUAACAGUGAAACUUUAAUCCUCUUCAACUAAAAAAAUACUGAACUAACUCCUGGAUGCUAUCUCUAUUAUGCAGCAAUGAUUGUGGCGUCUUUGUCAUGCACUUCAUGAAGCAGCUUUCCAAAGACCAACAAAUAGAAUUAGAUUUCAACAAAGAAAAGGUCUGGGAAAUGAGAAAAGAAGUCCUCAUGAAAAUUAUGAGCAAUGAAAGAAGUUGGAUUUCCAUCAAAGAAAGAGAAGAGAGAAAUGCAAAAGAAUGAAAGUUGUAAUCAAAUAUUUUGCCAAAAUUCUUGCUUAUAUUGUAGUUUCUUAGGACUUGUGUAGGUUUAGAACAUUGAAGUUAAGUGAAUUUAAAAUUCAAGUUAUGUACUUAUUCAAAAACCAAUUUAUUUACGUGAAUUAACAGUGUAUGUAACCUGACAUGAUGGUCUCCAUAACACUAAAAGAACUAAAAAGGUGAACAACAAAUAACAACGCACUCUAAAACAAUGUUAAUGCUAUUUGAUAGAAAUAAAUUGUUAAUACCAUGUCAUAGAACUAUCUUUUAAUUUCAACAAUGAUGUAAACAACGCGCGUUAAACAGUGUUAGUUAAUUUAUAGAUCACUCAAACAGAAAUAAUGCUUAAUUCAUAUCAAACUUCAAAACCAAAAUUUGUAAAAUACCAAAAAUGGUAAAUAUUAUAUAUUAAUACCAAAAUUCAAAGAGUAUUCAUAUGCAGUAACUGCUAUUUCACCGUAUUAACAACUUGCAUAUCAAUUUCUAUUCCUUUCAACUAUGAUUGUCAUUAAUCAAUCACAUAGCACUUUAACUACUUAAAAACUAACUACUCUCAUUCAAGUCUUUAUACUCUAGAACCUUUACAUCAAAUAGGAGCCUUGCAAGUCCUAUUAUGAAGAUCACAAGAUCUGCAUCUCUUGCAUUUCACCUGCCUUUUAGUUUCACUGCUUGACUUGAAGCGUUUUGUCGGAGCUUGUCUCGGAGGCUUUCUUAUAUGAGGAGGUAGAAUAAAAACAUCUCCAGGAGGAGGCUUCUCAAUAUCAGGUAUGGGAAAUAUAAGGGUUGCAUAAGUAGCCCUAUAAAAGUCUGCCUUGUAAUACUCAUCAACAAAGUUGUACAAACAUAACCCGGCAUGUUGGAUAACUUGAAUAGCAUGCUGACACGGAAACCCAAGCAAUUGCCACUGAUAACAGGAGCAAAACCUCUCGUCCAAAUUGACCAUAACACUAAAAUCAACAUGAACUUUAAAUAUAGAUUCACUCGCGUGACAUAUCCUCAAAUGACGACCCUUUGCAGCUAAAUUCUCCAACUCAUCCUCAAUAACCUAACACAAAACACUACACCAUUUCUCAGAUGCAAGCUUCCUCCUAGAGAUCAUCUCCAUCAUUUUGACCCUAAUAGUGUCAAUCAUCUCAUAAAUUGGAAGCCUACUUACAUCCUUAACCCAUGAAUUAAACGACUCGGACAAGGCAUUACUAACCUCCCCAUACCUCUUUCCCGGAAAAAAUGCAUUAGCAAAAUUUUGGAUAGGGAGAUCAACCAAAAUCUUAUCAAUUAUUGUUGAACCGCCAUCAUCUCUUAAUUUUUUCAACGUAUCUUGAUAUUCCUCAACAGUCGGUGCAUAUAACAACUUAGAAAAAAGCCACAAAAUAUGAUCCUUGAAAGAGGAACCAACAGAAUGCAGAUACUUCUUUUCCAAGUUCUCUUUCAAAUGAUAUAGACAAAAACCAUGGGCAGAAGCAGGAAAAACAGUCCUAACAGCAUCGAUAAUAGCACCAUGCCUAUCAGAAAUGAAUGUAAGUAGCCUACCUUCAUCCACCAAGACUUCAAAUAUCCUUUGCAGAAAUGACCUCCAAUUGUCUACAGUUUCACCGGAUACAAUCGCAAAGGCAAAAGCGAAUACUUCUACAAGAAACAGAGAACUAUAUUAGUUAGUUUGAAUAUUGCAAGAGCUAACAGUGUUACAACAUGAAGCAGAGUCAAACUACAAUGCAUAAAAAUACUAAGAUGCAGGGUAUGAACAGUAUAAAAACUGUUCAUACCACUCAAUGGAAGUCAACAACUACAGCAUUUACAUUUGCAUAACUACAUUGUUCAUAUCACUCAAUGGAAGUCAACAACUACAUAAUAGGUACAAAAAAUUGUAACAACAGCAGUGAAAAAAAAAAUGCACUGCAUACCUUUAUUUCCAUUCUUUGCAGUAGCACUUAGAAAAGUACCUUUGUACUUGUUUGUGGCGAAAGUACCAUCAAUGAACAGCAUAGGCCUACACCAUCGAAAACCAACAAUGGAGGCCUUAAAACAUAUAAAGAUCCGCUGGAAACGAGAACCAUCCUCGCCACAGUCAAGCACACAAUGAGAUCCGACAUUGCUGGCCUUCAAAACAUCCACAUACCAAGGCAGGUGAGCAUAAGACAACUCCUCAUCACCAUGUAAAUCCUUGGUAGUCGACUCCUUCCCAUACCACGCAACAUGAUAAGGGAUAUCCAAUCCAUAAUUUUCCUUCAAAUCAAUAAUCAACUCAAUAGCCCUUACCAGAGGAUUGCUACGAACUUUAUCUUUGACAAUUGAAGACACCAAACAAGACCCCAUUGCCUUAUUUCUCUUCUCACGAAUCAAACCAUUGCAACUGUGUGUGUUAUUUAAAUUCUUAAUAUAAAAAAUUCCAUUUACAUUGGACUUAACAGCAUGCACAUGCCACUCACAGCCAUUUGAUUCCUUCUUAGCACACACGACAGUAACACAACGAGGCUCAUUUUUCAAAUACUUCAUCUUAAAACCAUUCUCAAUCGAGUACUUAGCCAACUUAUCACGGAAUUCACAAACUCCACCCUUAAACUUCUGACCCUCAUGACUAAUAUAACCCUCCCAAUCAGUAGACAAAUACUUACGACCUCCACAACUACCAUAUUUGCCUAAAUAUUCAUUUCCAAACUCACUACUAAUACCAUCAAAAUCCAUACUCAAACAAGAAGAAGAAGCUGCACUUGAAUCAACAAUACUACCAGUUUGACUUGAAUCUUUACAUGUAUCCUCAUGUUGUGCAAAACUGUCAUUGUUAGGAACAGCCUCCAAUAAAAAAGGAGAAGCAUUUAUGUUCGUAUUAACAGUUUGAACAUGAUUCACUACAGCCCUAUCCCUAACAGCAAUGUGAAUUAAUUGAUCCUUCAUCAGUCUACAUACCAUAAACAUGAUUUUCAAAUGAUCAUCCGAUUCCAAUAAACAAUUGUAGCAAUCCGUAAAAGAGUACCUCAACUCAAAAUAACCUAACUUAAGCUUAAACCUACUACACAACUUGUUGGACACCCAAUCAAAAGUAGUAAUUGAAGUAAAAAUAAGCAUUAAAGUUCCAAUACCAUAGGUGCACUUCGCCACUCUCGAAUCAUCCAUAUCUCUACAACAAAAUAAAACAAGCAAAACAAACAUGACUACUAGCAUUAACAGUGAAUUAUAGUCGACUCAAUAACCAAUAGUGCAUAAACACAAAAAACACGAAUAUACUCAUAUUCAACUGAAAAAGUAUACCUCAAUAUGAAAACUAAAUCAAAUAUCACAAAUUUUUUACCACAGCUCAAACCAAAACACAAGAGCAAAUCCACAAUCAAAACGAAUCUGAAAUCAAUCCAAAUUAUAAACAAAAAGAAACGAAAACCUAAUCAGCAACUUAAUUAAUCGAACAUGAAAUCACCAAAAAUCAUACUACAAUAUAAUCGAAUACCUCAAAAAAUGAAUAUCAAUUCACAAGAAAAAAACAAAUACCUCAAAAUCGAAGACCACAGAUCGCACCAAGCUCCAAUCGAGUCUCAUGCAGCAGCGCAAUAUCAAUCCAAAAAUUACCAAAUCAAACAAGAAAGAUAAAAAUUGAAGCAAUAGAACUCCAAUCGGCACCAUACUGAGCUCAGAUGAAUCGAAAAAGAAGAUCUGGAACCACAUCAUACUGAGCUUCGUUCGAAGAGGUGAACGAAGCUCGUUUGGAAUAUUCGAUCUGCUGACUGCCAAACAGGUUUCAAUUAUGAGGUCACCAACGUAAGUUUCAAGAAAUUCCUAUCCUAGCUGGCGAGUUUUGGGUAUGUUUCAAAAAAUUCAAACCAAAAGGUCAAAACCGUAAUCUAACAUAGAAAAUAAAUCCAAAAAUCUCCAGCUGUCAAUUUUAGGGUUUAUUUUGGGUGUGUUUCUAUGUAUUAAAUAGUGUAGGGUAUAUUUAUAGUUUCAUGUCUAGGAAUGGGUAUUUCACUAAUUUUUUAUUUUUAUUUUUCAGGCUUAUAGAAGAAAAAGGGAAAAUACCAACAAUUAAUUAAUUUAAAACAAUUGAGAAUUUGUCAUUAACAUUAGGACCGCAUAAGAAUGUUUGAAUCAUUGAAAUGCAAUGCGUAAGGACCCAACAAGAAUGUUCAUCAAAUAAAUUUAUUUGAUUGAUCCCUCAAUUGAAAAGUUGUGUUGUAUAUGCAUAGUCAUUCGAAAAUUUCAAUAACGAAAAAGAAGGAUCUAGAAUUGUAUACCAUGCACAAUCCAUUGAAACUAAAUACUCAUUCUUGUGAGUUUUAAUACAUUAACCCUACAGAUAGGCUUAUUACAUUUUCCUUUGAAAUGAUCGGUCAAGGAUUCAAUUCCUUUCAACGUAACAAAAAUUACAAAUUACGAAGUUCUACAACAAUGCUAUAUUUUGUAAAUGCAGUGCAUUCUUACACCUUGACCUUAGUAAAUUAAUUCUAACAAAUUCAUAAGUCGCCAAAAUAGUAUAUCUGCCUGUGCUACAACUUACAGAAAAAAUGAAAAAUGCUGCAGAAUGCGCCUAGCAUUACAAUGCAGUUACAGAAUUUUAAUGAAAUUUUGUACUAAGCUUGUGAGGAAGGCUCCCAAUUUAGUUUGAGUCUUGAAUCCAAAGAAUUAAUCAAAUCAUAGUAAGCUAUGGGAUGACAACAAGACCUCUCUGCUACGCAUCUCAGACGAACUGUGUCGGCAUGGGCAGGUAACCAGGCUUAUGAGCUUGAAAUGACAUCAGUUGUGGAAUCAACAUUCUGUUUCCCAUUGCCAAUAAUAAGACUACUCAAGGGGCCACUAAAUUCCGACCCAUAGAUGUGACCCAUUUUAGCACGUUUAGUCUCUAAAUACCUCUUGUUCUCCUUAGUAAUGGGAGUUACUAAUGGUAUUCUGCCCGAAACUGUUAAACCAUAACCCUUUAGCCCAACAUACUUGGAAGGGUUGUUUGUCAUCAGCUUCAUUGUUCGAACACCAAGGUCCCUUAGUAUCUGCAAUGAAUAAGCCAAUAGUUCAGUUUUACCAAGAGAAAGGUACUCUUGAACAUGCAAGUAUUCGGGGUUUAAAAAGAUAGUCACAGGAUAAAGUUCACAGUUCUAUGAAAUAAUAAAAAGAUUCAUUGAGGCAAAUAGCAUUUUCUCAACUAAUUUACUGUAGGAAUUCCUUAAAACUGAGUCUCUGAGAGUAAGUUUUUCCUUCAAACUUGUAGAAACCAACAUUCAUUCAACUCUUGAAUGCAAUACGAAAUCUAUUAUAUGUUGCAGAACAAAUCACUUGUCAAUAUUCAUCAUAACUACUCUAUAUUAAAACUUUUGAAAUCUUCAAAUUUGAGUUUCAACUAUCCAAUAAAUUUAACAGAAUUCAUGCAAGAUAAAGACCAAUACUUAAUUAAACAACAUUAUGAUGAGAUCCAAACUUCUAUGGCUAAAUAAAUUGUUUCGAAAUAUCAAAACUUAAGCAUGUAAUUUGAGGCCAGACAGAAUCAACAUUGAUUGCCGAGCAAUCGAAAGCUCAAUAAAGAAAUCUCAGUUAAUUUAUUACCAACUUUAAACAGUAAUUCAGUCUACUUUCAAAAUGCCUGUAAACAGAAUUUCUACUAGGAAGUACCUGGGCACCAAUGCCAUAUUCUCGUGAGUCAACAGGCAACCCCAAAUCCUCAUUGGCUUCAACUGUAUCACGUCCAGCAUCCUGUAGGUUAUAAGCACGAAGCUUGUGACCCAAACCAAUGCCCCUUCCUUCAUGACCACGUAGAUACACCAGGACACCCUUGCCGUUGGCCUCAAUCUGCCGCAUUGCAAGUGCGAGCUGUUUCCCGCAGUCACAUCUGGCCGAUCCAAAUAUAUCUCCUGUGAGACAUUCUGAAUGUACUCUCACUAGAACAUCUUGUCCGUCCCCAAUGUCACCCUGCUUAUACCAUAAACUUAGUUAUAAAUUAAACAUUACUAUAGUAUUGAAAAGAAAAAGAAAAAGAAAUUAUGGAUCCCACAUUCAGGCGAAGGAUCUAACAGGACCAGAUUGGCCUAGGCUUCAGACAUAAUUUCAUUCUGGUCAUCAGGCAACUUUGUCUACCAGCUAUACAACUAUUUUUGGUAUAAAAACUCUAGUAUUCUAGUAUUAAAAGUGAGUGCAACCAAUAACUUUGUUUUACAUUGUAACUGAGAUAAACAAAUUUAAAAUAGAUUGAAUACCAACGUAACAAACAGUGCUUACCUUAACCAUUGCAAUAUGUUCAAUCCCAUCUAAGAUGGAUCUAUAACAGAGGGCUGUGAAUGGUCCCCACAUUGUAGGUAUCCUUGCAGCACCAGAACGAUCAACUAAUUUGUCUCUCUUCCGCCUAUACCUGCCAUUAUCCGAGCACUGGAUCAGUUAAGUCGUUUAUGCUUUAAUGAAUAUGCAACGCCAUAACAAAUAAGAUGGAAGGUAAGUAUAAAAUUGAAAAGAAAAUAGUCGAUACAUGCAUAUAUUUAUUUAUACAUUGACCUGAAAAAAGAAUAGGGAUCAAUGAAUCUAUGAGAUGAGUUAAAGCAUGAGAUAAGAUGUUUGUUCUUUAUGAGCUAUUGCAUAUAAAAUAUGUGCAUGAAUAUAUAUUGCAUUGAAAAUGCAGGUGAAAUGUAGGCUUUCAUCGAGGUAUAAAACAAUUAAAACCGCAGGUUAAAUAAUUCUAGCUAUAUUUAAAGUCGCAGGAGAAAAUGUAGGCUUUCAUGGAGCAACUGCAGUUAACUUAAUAUACAGUAAAUUUUGUCCAAAAGUGAGCAAUAACUUUACCUUAUUAAAUCAGCAAUGGAUACAAUUUUCAAAUUCUCCCGCUGUGCAAAUUGGCGAAGCUUUGGUAAUCUAGCCAUUGAACCAUCAUCAUCAACAACCUCACACAAAACAGCAACGGGAUCCAAUCCAGCUAGCACGGUAAGAUCAACAGAUGCUUCAGUGUGUCCGGCUCUUUUCAAAACACCACCCUCUCUGUACUUCAGUGGAAAUAUAUGACCUGGGCGGUUGAAAUCAUCAGGUUUUGAAUCUCUAGAAGCAAGAGCUAAAACUGUUGUUGCCCUAUCACUUGCAGAUACCCCUGUGGUUGUACCAUUUUUUGCAUCCUAAAAAAGUUAUUAACGCAAAAUCAAAGUUGAGAAAGAGUUAGAUAAGUACGCAAAUGAAAAACAUCAACAACUAACUUACAAACCUUCCAUAAAGCACAACACUGCAAUUGAGUCAACUGGAAAUAUUGUCAGUGGACAAUUCAGGUAAAUAUCCUAAACAAGAUAGUUUAAGCUUUUUAAUGGGUUUGUUAUUGUACUGACUGUUGUGGUCAUUGAUUUUCUAAUAUAUGUUAGUACAUUUAACAUUUAAGUUCAAACCUAUGAUACAUUGGCAUAUUUUCUAGCAUAUUCAUUGUGAACAAACUGCAUUGUCUCAGCACUGUCUCUUCAGAAAGAGAACUAGCGUAUUAUCAUUGUUUUCUUUUUCAUGAUAAGAUAGGACAGCUCAAAUUUUAAAAUUGCAGGUCUGCCCUGCUGAGAUGAGGAAUUAAUCUAUUGUAGCCUUAGAAAUAAGAGAUCAACAUUAAGUUGAAAUUACAAUAUUGAAAGGAAAAGUUAAAAUUUUCAAAUAAAAUGUCAAAUAAUAAGAAUACUUACCACUGUCACGGUGAAUGCUGUUCGAAGCUUCUCAUCGUUAUCCUUUUGUGUUACCAUUAGAGGUAAUUGCAACCUCUCCAGAUCUUUUCCAUCCAUGCUCACGCACACUAUUCCAGUGCUAUGCUUCACGAUAAAAGCCAUAGCCUCAGGUGUUGCUAGUUGUGCUGCCAUGAUCAGAUCUCCUUCAUUUUCUCUGUCCUCAUCGUCUACAACCACUACCAUCUGCAAUAGUAAUUUCAAUUACUCAUGGAAAUAUACUUCAAAAAAAGGUGGACAAACAUAGAGUGCCAUGCCACCAAAAGACAAGAAAAAAAACACAUAAGAAAAGCAACCUUUCCUUGGCGAAUGUCUUCAAUGGCCUCUGGGAUGGAAGCAAAUCCUUUUGUGGGGCAAUCCAAAUCAAAUUCAUUAUUAUCAACUGGAAAACCACUAGUUGUUGGAACAGUAUCUGCUGAAAGUGUUCCAAAUGCUACUGCAUCCGGCUGUAUCUCAAUCCCAACUGACUGAUCAUCAAUGAGAGUACUAUUUGUCACUGCACCAUUGCCGUUAGUAUAAACAAGGUCACCCUCUUCAGACACCAUUGUAGCUCUAAUUCGAGAAACCCCCUUAUUACUGAAUGAAAAUUUACUACCCAUCUGGAUCGAGGCUAUACUAGACGUGUUCCCAUUAGACAGAGAAAGAUUCAGAGUAUGCAACCCAUUGAACAAUUUAAAAUUUUUGCAUGCCCUACAUAAAAUAGAAUGCCAAUAAGUACCAAGAGAUUAAAAUAGUGGUAGAGAAAGGAUACACGAAACAUAGCAAAAUGGUGUGAGUAGAUUGUGUAGCUAACACAAAUAGUUGAAGAGAUUAACUAGACAGGAACUUCUCAGCAUAUAAAAUGUAUUCGAACGUCCUUUUAUGAAGAGAACCAGUUGUUGAAUAAUCCAGACCUUAAAAUAAGUCUACCAUAAAUUAAAGUUUCUCCUAAGAGUUAUGGCCCAAACAAUCAUCAAUUGUAUUGCUUUGUUUAUGAGAUACGAAAAGAAAAAAAAAAAGUAACAUACACAUGAAUACUACAACUGUAUUUAAACUAUUAAUCAGUUACAUUAACGUAACAGUUGAAACGUUCAAUCCUUAAAGGGCCCAUUUGGUUAUGUGUUCUGCAAAAAGGUGCAGUCCUCAGAGUUCAUAUCUCAAAACCAAUCUUAGCAAAGCCUUUGAAAAAGUUUUUAUUUGCCAGUAUAUCGGAAAUGGGUAGAACUUUAUGAUAUUAUCUAAUUUGGUUUCCUUCAAAUUGAGUGAAACCGCUGGACACAACAAAUAGUCAAAAUUUUGUUUUUUCUCAAAAGAAGGUUGUCCAAAACUAUUUCCUAAGCAGACAAACAAAGCUGCCAAAUUUUUUAUUUAUUUUGUAACUUCCAUUAUCUGAGCACUUAAAAUUGUUAACUAAUCGAAAUAUUGGAUCUGACCAACUAGAGAAAAUUCCUACUCAGACACAACAACAAUCACAAAUAAGAGUUCUCUUAAAGGCAAAUCAUAUGAUAUGACAAACAUAUGGUAAACCAUGAAAAAAUAAAUAAUAGCAUGAAGUAUACAGCUAAAAACAUAAAUAAAUAAAAGUCAAAGAAUUAAGCAAAGCAUUAGCAUCUUGCCAUAAUCCAAGUCCACAUUUGAUGAGCAAAUUUCAAUCAAACAAGACAUCUGUAGAAGAUGUAAAGGAAAAUGGCUACAAAACAUCAAGAACACAAAAACCCAAAUGGGUUUUAACUUAAAAGGUUAAUACAACAGAUAAAAAGCUGAAGAAAUGAAAGAAAGCUCACUGAGGUCGUGAAAGGGGAGUUGUAGAAGGGCAUGAGACGUUGAUGGAAGCCAUGGGAUUGUUGGAGAAGCCUUGCCAAAGCCCAAAAUCAGACUCUUUUGAGACCUUCCCACUAAAACGGCUCCCUUUAGAUUAUAAAAUGAAAGAAGAUGAAGCAAAACGAAGGAAGGUGGACAGGGAACAGAUUAUGAAGCAAUGGCGAUUUAUAUAGAAGGGAGAGGUUUGUUACUCGCGGGUGACGAAGCUUUGUCCCCAACCAAUCAGAAAACAAUAAACACAUCACAUGGUACGAACUUUCUUUUUCAAUUGAAUAAAGAUGUUGAUCUCCUCGUUGAUAAUAAAAAAUUUAUAAAAUCCCUAGAAAAAAAAAAUUUAAGGCAUGAUAAUAUUGGAAAAAUGACUCAUCUAUUUAUUUUAUUUUUGAAUUUUUUAUACACAAGCAAUAUUAAAUAAGAGAAGAAUUGAACCUAGAACAUCAAAUGCAUAAAUAAUUACUAAUUCUUUAUUAUUUUCAAGUUUUUAAUAUCAAUAGGCUCUCAAUUUACAUUUUAAUACAAAAAUGCGAAUCAAACACAAAUUCUUGACUUACUCUUUAUCACUCCGUGGUCAAUAUUGUGGGCUCACUUAUUUUAUUUUUUAAUUAUUAAAAGAAAAGGUGGAUUCCAUCCUGGGAGUCCCACAGUUUGUUUGGGAGUGGUUUAUUUAUUUAUUUAUUUUAUUUUUUAUUUUUAUUUUUUAUAAAGCCUCUUUUAAUGAAGGGAUCGAUAAAAAUCUACAAACUCACACACACGCCGAUGCCGGGGGCAAGCCUAGGACCUCUCCUAGCAAGGCGCAAAGCCCUAACGACUGCACUAUGGUGCCCAUCCUCCAGUUUGUUUGGGAGUUUAUGUUAUCUUGGAUAAGGAAGACAGAAAAAAUAAAAAAUAAAAAAUUUUAAAAAUUUUAAAAAAAAUUUGAGAUUACCGCAGAAAAUCUUUUCUUAUUUUAAGGCAGAAGAUGCAUUUGAUGCAAAUAAAAGAAACAAGAAUAUGCACAUGAUUGUUGGAAAUUGAAAUAGGAGAAACUUAUUUGUGCAUAUGCAUCACGUGUAAUACAUGUCUCUCACAUCUUGUGGUCUAUAAAUUUAUAAUGAGAUUGACCUUUUACUUGCUUUAACAAAUGCUUUGCAAUGGCUCUCACGCUAGUGCACUAAAAAGUUGAUUGUUGAUAAAUAUAACAAUUUAAAGAAGAACAUCCUCGGUCCCUUCUCCACUGGUCACCUCUCCAUGUCCUUUUUGCUCCUUUCUCUUUCUUUUACAUAAAAACUUCCGAUUUAAUGAUGGGUAACCUUUUGAGUUCAAAUCAGGUUGAGAGAGAGAAAGGGGGACGGCAUGGUAGGUGGGAUUGCUAGGUUUUUUAAUUUAAAUUUACCUCCUGCAGCUUUUAGAAUAUUGUUAAUGGUAAAAUUAGGACUAUAUUUUUACAAUGUUUCUAAACUAGUAUAUAGAUGGGAAGGGGGAUCGAACUCAUGUGCAAGGGAACUGAUUUAGUAAUUUGAUCAAUUGUCCUAAUUCAUAUCUGCGAAAUUAGAACUUAAAUUAGAAGGAUCGUAGAGUGAGCAGUUGGGGUAGUAUAAAUACAAUUUUUCUAAUACUAUAUCAAUAGAUUUUUUAUCCGUUGUGUGCCCCUAGAUUUGGAUGAUAUAUUAUCUACACAAUUAAUUGAUGGGGUAUGGAGGAGGAUGGGGUAUGGAGGAUGGGGCGGAGCGGAGGGGUUGGUCCAUUUGCAUUUUGAUGAAAUAAAUUCUAUUUCACACUCGUCAAAAUAGCUUUUUAUUUUUUUAUUUUUUUUAUUUUAUUUUGAUGGUAUUAUAGAGCUCUACUCUACCUCACUUAACAUUGGGGUAGGGACGGAGAAUGGGGAAGAAAGGUAGGCUCAAAACGUGUUGAUUGGUAACCAUAGCUAGGCCUAGACCUACUCCAAGGACUAGUUAGUUUUCUAUGGCAUUUGGUCCUAUAAGACCAUCUCCAACUACGUUUGAGCUAAACUCAUAUUUCCACUCUCUAAAAUACAACUAUUCAUGUAUUUUCAGGACUCAAAUUUUUUUUCCCUCCAACUUUGCAGACUCAUAAUUUGAGUCCACAACUUUAUUAAAUUGUUUAAGAAUGAUUAACCCCUAAAUUUGUUUUCUCGUUAAUUUUUCUUGACAUUAUUUUUGUUUCAACAUUUGUGAUUUAAUUUUCUAAACAUUUUAACCUAAAAAAAUUAAAAUUCCAAAACAUAAUAGAAUUUCACUUAAAAAUAAAAACAAGUACAACACCAUAUGUGUUUAAAUUAUGUAAGUGUGUUUAAAUUAUGUUGUGUGUUUAAAUUAUAAAAGUGGUUGUUGUUGUAUUGUUAAUUGACACAAAUUAAUGUGCUAAGAAUGAGAAAAGUAUAAAAUAGAAUGAAAAAAAUAUAAGAAUGAAAGUAGAAUGAAAAAAAAUAACAAAAGGGAGAAAAAAAAAAGAUUUUUGGUUGACACAAAUUAUAGCUAUUGGAAUAUUUAAAAAAAUAAAAUAGUUUUAAAAAAAAAAGAAAAAAAAAAGAGCACAUAAUAAUUUUGAAAAAGUAGUCGUUGGGAUUCAAUCAAAUGGCCAACUUGUUGCAAAACUCACGUGAGGCUAGCACUUUUUGUUGUUCACGUGGGCUUCGAAGGCAAAAAACAAAGAAGAAAAAGCAGAUUUUGGGCCCACAAACGUUAUCAGUCCAGGCAAUAAUUUGAGUGGAAUUCCAGUUCAAAUUUGAGAUUCCUUAAAUUUCCACCCCCCAAAAUGCAUGGGUUUGAGAAGUUUUUUGGACUCAAAACUUAUAAUUUGGGUUUCCACCCCUUGAGUUGGAGAUGGCCUAAGGCCAUAUCCAAUUAUGGGCCAUAGGCCAAAUAUAGCCCUAAAAUAAUGUAAAAUUCAUCUUCAACUAUAGGCUAAAAAAAAAUUUGGCCAAAUUUAGAGGGUCACAUUCGGCCCUUUAGCCCUUCAACCAAGUCAAUUGUAGCCAGUUUUGGCCUAGGCCAAAAUUUUUUGUGGGCCCUAUACAUGUGCUUUUCAAGAAGAGAAAUUAUCAAGUGUGGGCAAGAGCACGCAACAUCUCGUACAAAUGCAUAUCCAACAGCCAAUAUUAAAGGCGCGCUGAUGUCAUUAAUGACGUCAGCUAGCCGUUAAGAUAAUUUUUUUUUAAAUAGCUUUUUAAAAUGUUAUCAAAGUAUACUGUCAUAUGUGGAUAUUGUCUCUAAAUAGUAGUUUAAUUAAAUUAAAUAAUACAUUGUUGUUGAAUGUAUGAGUGUUGUACUAUAUUUUUUUUCUCAAAAUAAAAAAAUAUGAAGGACCCUAAAACAUAGCCCUACAUGGCUAGAGAUGGAAAAAUUUUAGCCCUACACUAUUUUAAAAAAAAUUAAUAUUUUGGAGGGCUAAAUUUAUAGCCCUGGACUACAUUUAGCCCUAUGAGUCUAUGACUGGAGAUUGCCUAAUAACACCAAAACUUAUGAGCUCAUCUUUGAGAACUGAGUCAAAAAAAAAAACCAAAGUAAAAGUGAUUUCUCUUUCUUUUUUUUCAAGUUAUUUUUCAAUAUUACGUAUUCUUCUAUUCUUUUAAAUUGAAUGGUCCAAAGUUUAGUUGUGUGUUUGAUUAACACAUUGUUAGUCCCAUUCGUUUGUAUCUUCAAAUUGUAUUGAGCAUACUUCCAUAUAUAUGCUACUAAUAUAACAUAGGAAAAGAACAAAACUACUUAAUCAUCUCAUUUUAUUUUGGUCCUUCCAAAGGAUAAACGGGAAUCAUCAUUAUAGAUUACAUAGGGAAAAUUUUAACAUUGACCUUGAACUUAUGGCUUUCUUCCGAUUUAUCCCUCAACUUUUAGUUUGGUUAUGAGCACCUCUACGCUUUUAAAACAUGCCAAUUUGCCCAUACCGGCAAACUUGUCAAAAUUUAUAGUAGUUUUCUAUUGACAAUGCCCCCAGAAUGGAUGAAGCAAUCCUCAAUUUGACAUGAAUUUGACAAAUUUGAUUGUAAGCAUUGGCACGUUUUGAAAAAUUAAGGGAGAUCAUUCUCAAAAAGAAAGCCCAAAGAGAAAAAAGGAAGAAGGUCCUCAAUUUAGAUGACAUUGCCAAAAUGGUUUUUGAUUGUGCUUUCUAGACUUUUGUUGUUUGGUGGGUUCUUUCUAGCUAGGAGUCUGGUAGAGAGUUUUUCAAAUAAUUGCUGAUUUUUCAUCUUCAUGCGUAGUAGUUUAAAGCACAUUAAAUUACAAUUUUUUAUUCUUUUUUUAUUUCAAUUGUACAUAGAUUUUUUUUUUCCUCUCACACAUAUUGCCAAGGUACUAUGUACUUCGAACAUGAGAUCACUACCCUAGACUAGAAGUUACAGUUUUUUUUUCACUGAGUUAGACCUCAUUGGCAACUUAACCAUUGUGGUUGGUUGCCAUUUUUCAUUUAGGCUAAAUUCCGUCAAUUUAAUUAAGCAAAAGCUUAAAUGACGGUAAAACGUAAGCAUGCAUGUCAUUGUUGCAUAUACAUCCCACCAAUUUUACAAAGAGCUAUUUACACUGACAUCCAUGAGAUUUUUGGUGUUUUCACAAAAUUCUCAGAGGUUUCGGAAAUUACAUUAACAUUCCUUGAGGUUUCAAAUUGUUUUCACAAAUCUCCUUUACAGUGCGUUUGGAUGAGGGAAAUAAACUUGAGAUUUUGACAAAAGUCAAUUGGGAUUCUAGAGCGUUUAAAAAUAUUUUGUUUAAGUGCCAAAUUUCAUGGAACUUUGUGGAACUUUUAGAUUUCGUAUAGACUUUCAGAAGACUUCUAUACAAUUUUUUUAUAAUUUUCCUUAAGAUUUGUAUGGCUAUUAUUCUAGACUUCUAUAAAUUCUAUCUAAAAAGUUGUCAUUUUUAAAAUUCCAAGAGACAUUGAGUUUAUGGAAAAAGAAAAAAAAAACGUUUACAAAUAAAGGUUACAUUUCAUAUUUAAAUUCGUUACCAAAACAAGAAACUUUAUAAAUUCUAGAAUAUUAAUUUCCGUCAUUUUAAAUUUCAUCAUUUAUGAAUUUCUUUAUACUUUUAAAUUUCCUCAUCCAAAAUUAAUUUACUGUCAAAUAUAAAUAACUUUUCAUAAACUUAAUUAAUAAUUAUAUUUAUUCUUAAAUUAAAAAGAUACUGCAAGAAUUUGGUUUAGUUGUUUCUCGUUUACGUUUUGACUUUUUUUAAUCUUAAGAUUCAAAGAAGUUCCUUGUAAUUGGUGUACACGUUAUGUGUAGAGUCACAGGCAGGUGAUGCAAUGCAACAACGGGAUUACGACAAUAAAGGAUGAGAAGUGGAGAAAACGCAUGUGCCGCCACCCACGCAAGCAAUAUAGAGAAACAAAUUGAAAGGAAGGUCGAGGAGAUUCUUCUUCUGUCUGUGUCCCUAUCCACUGAGAAAUGAGGGUCAAAAUGCUCGUUGUUGGUUGGAUAACACAACACUCCUUCGACGACGUGGAGGUUGCAAAAGCCCAAACCAAAGUUUUCCUCCUACUAGUCUUCUCGCACCCCUUCUUUGACUAUGACCCUUUUACUUUUAUUUCUCUGUUUUUGUUUCCUAAAAACAAUCGAGACCGAAACGUUGUUUGUUUUCCGCUCAACAUCAAAAGGAACAUCCUUAAUAGUAAACGUUUAUUUCAGUUUAUUAUACAAUAUGGUCUCAUGAUUCGGAUAUUUCAUUUAUAUCUUAAAACAAAUCAGAGAACUUGAAACCCUUUAAUCAUUUAAUAUAUCAUGUUGAUUACUUUCAUUGUUUUUGUUGUUAAUAUUGUAUUUAUCUAUAUAGUUUAUCACAAUUAGAUGGCUACAGGAUUUUUUCGAUUGGGCUUUUUUUUUUUUUGCACGAUGAUUGUUAAAAUAAGGAUCUAAAGCCCAAACGGUUCACUUAUUGAUACCACAUUGUGACUAGUUGCCCCAAAUGAGUAGUUAGUAUCGUAUUAACUCAGUUUUUGACUAAUUUAUUUACUUUAAGUCAUUCAGUUAAAGGUUGGUGAAAUAAGGAAGAUAAUUUCAAUUUUGAGCGACUAUAUUGAGAAAGGAUAAGCCUAUAGGUUCUCAUUUCAUGGAGUUUUGGCCCAAUUGGUAAAACUAGACUUCUAUACUAAUUGUUAAGAGCCCAUGAGUAAAAAAAAUUCCAAUACAAAACCGGCUUAUAAGGAAAGAGUGCCUAGGAGAUCAUUUACUAUCCCGAACUAUGUUAUCGUAAUAUUUGGAUCCUUACAUUUGCAUGCAGGCCAUUUUAAAAUAUAUGGGCCUUGCACACGUCAUUUAACAUAAAAGCCUUUUAAUUAGUUGUGGGCUUCUCUCUUUCAUUUAUUGGCCCAUAAUGAUGUGAACUUAGUUCCCGUUGUGGGCUUCGGCCCACAACCCAAAGAGAAAAAAACAAAAAGAGACUGAUUUUCUCUUCUCCCAUGUUCCUGAAACUGCGGAAAUAUAUUGACUCCAAUUUCAAUGAAAGAGACGAUUUGGUUGCUUUGAAAUCAUAAUCUGCACUUGCCGAAGAAAAAGACAAAAAGCAAAUCGCCAGAUCACCAGAUCACCGGCCAUCUGCACCGUUGGAAAACUAACCGUUAUAGGCUGAACUUUUCAUCCAACGGCCAUAAAACCUGCGCAGUAAACAAACCGCGUUUCGCCUUGAGUUGGUAACACGUUUUCUAAACCGACCCCUGCCAUCAGAAGAAAAUCUCCACCGUCAAGUCCCUUAAAUUUCGCCACAAACAAGAUUUUAAUAAUCCAACGGCGAUCCCUCAGCCAAGUCUUCUCACCAUACCCCUUUAUAAAAGGCCCCCCUCCCUGCUCUCCUUAAACCCACAUCCUUCGCCUCUCUGCCUCUCAGCCUCUCAGACCCUCACUCUCUCUCUUCGUGCGAAUUCUCUCUCUCUCUCUACAAUGGCCAGAUUAAGCAGCGUCGUUUUGGUGCUAAUGGCUUCUCUCUUGUUGGCCUCAACAAGGGCGCAAUCCCCUACAUCGUCACCCGCCAAGUCCCCUGCGCUCUCUCCCAAACACCCCGCUGCCCCUUCUCCAUCGAGCAUUCCACCCAAGGCUUCGCCUUCUCCUUUGAGCACUCCACCGUCGGCUGCUCCUUCUCAGUCUCCCGUCGCAGUCUCUCCACCUUCUCCCCCAUCCGCUUCCCCUGAAUCUCCAGCGAUCCCUCCAUCUUCAGUUUCUGGACCGCCGUCUGAGGCUCCCGCACCCUCCACCAACGGCGCCGUUUUGAAUAGGUUCUCCGCCGCCGGAUCUGUGGCCGUAGGGGUUUUCGCUGCUGUCUUGGUUAUGUAGAGUGGGGGGUUUAUGGGUUUUUUUUUUUACAAUUAUCCAUUUAAUAUUUGUAUCAAUUUAAUUCAAUUUAUUUAUUUUAUUUAAUUUAAAUUUGUAGCGCAGUUAUAUGGAAAUAUAAAAGAGACAUAUUUGUUUUCUUAAAUAUUUUUUUCGAUACAUAUGAUUAUUCUCAAGUUAGCCCCUGCAUUGGGUCCAGAAUUACAAAUAAGUAGUCGUUAGCAACUGCCAACAGCUAUUGCUACCUCACACUGGGCAGAGCUAGUUGUGUUGAAGUUGAACCUAAAAGUUGUUCUUUUAUUAAACUCAAAUCAUCAAAUGAGAUUAGCUUUGACAUUAAAUAUUUAAUCAGACUUGAGUUUAAAUUAAAAUUUGCUCUUUUCUUUUCUUUUUUAAAGUUCUGUCCUCCUAGUUCUGUAGACAGCGAGUUUCUUGGUCACUUGCCAUUGGAAAUCCAAUGAUGCACAACACUCUUAACAACAAACUCAUUUUUUGUAAUUCUUUUUGGUAAAUGAUUUUUAAAGUUUUCACAAAUGUUAAGAAUAAAAAAUUUUGAAGUAAUUUUUCAGGAAGAAUCCAAUUUUUUUAUCUGUCUAGCGAGUUUGAAAUUUUUUUUCUACUCCCCUGUAAAGGAAAUUAUGAUUCUUAUUAAUCAAUUGAGAAAAUAUUACAGAAUAGUAUUUAAAACCUAACUAAUUUAUACAAUAGAUAAAGCCAUUGGUACAAGCUGUUACAACUACUCUCUUUAUUUUAGCCCCUAAAUUGUAUCCGUGUUUGAUUCACAUAGAAGACAAUCUUGAGACAACUCAAUAUAUUACUCCCCCCUCCUCCUCUCUAGCAAACGACAAAAAAAUAAAAAUAAAAAUUAGUGGAGUUUAUAUGUGAAAUAACUUAUUUUAAAUAACUUAGGGCAUGUUUGGUAUCCUACUCAAAAAAAUUUUUGGUUAGAACUCACAAACUAUGACUCUUAAAAAUAUGAGUUUUCAAAUAGUGAUUUAAAACUAUUUUUAAGAUCUAUAAGAAAUUGAAAUUGAAAUUAAAAUCAGAAACCAUAUAUUACCAAAUUGAAAUUAACAAAAGAAAAGGAAAAAUCUAUGUUGUUUCAAUGGAAACCAUAAAAACCCAAAACAUGAAAAAAAAAAAAAAUUUAUCAAUUUUGGUUGGGGUUGGGUCAGACCAAGGAGGUAGUGGAUGAAGGAGACCGUCACGGAGCUACAAACGACAAUGUCGACUCAUAACCACCAACCACGAAAGGGAGAGAGAGAGAGUGUGUGUGUGUGGAGAGAGAGAGGGAGGAGAGAGAGGUAGAAAAAACUCUUAAAACCUCACUUUUUUUGUUUGCAAUAAUGGGGGGUGUUUUGAGUGUUUUUUGAGUUUGAGUUUUAAAAAAUAGGCAUACCAAAUGAGUUUUUUUGUAAGUUUUGGACUUAAAACAUGUUUUUAAGUUUAUAAAAUUGAAUUCAAGUAUGAUACCAAACGGCCCUUAAUUUAUAUGGCAAACAGUCAUCUUACACUGCUCCAUUAGAAAAAUAUAAGAGCAAAAUAGCAUCUUAAUAUAAAGUGCAAAAUGAUGUUUUUUUGGAGUGCUGGCAAUCACAACUCUUUAAAAUAAAGCAACACUUUCCAACUGCAAGAGGAGGAUCCGUUGCAUAAAGCCACUAUUUGCACUGGCAAAAAAGAAAACACAAUCACCCAAACUUGCCAUCUGCACCGUAGGAAAACUAACCGUUAGAGACUAAACCUUUGCAUCCAACGGCUACAAAACAAGGCCAGUACACAAACCGCGUUUGGCCUGAGUUGGUAACACGUUCUCGAAACUGACCUUCUCUCAAAAGGCUAAAAUCUCGACCGUCCAAAUAAGCUCCUAAUAAUCCAACGGUCUAUCCCCCAUCCAAGUGUCCUCCCCUUCCAUCUAUAAAAUGCCCUCUCCCUGCUCUCCUUAAACCUAUCCAUCACCACUCUGCCUCGCAAUCCCACACACACACUCUCUCUCUCUCUCUCUCUCUCUCUCUCUCUCUUUGUGCCAAUUCUCUCUCUCUCUUCUCUCUUCUCUCUCUACAACAAUGGCCAGAUUCAGCGGCGUCGUUUUGGUGCUAAUGGCUUCUCUCUUGUUGGCCUCAACAAGGGCACAAUCCCCUACAUCGUCACCAGCCAAGUCCCCUGUGUUCUCUCCCAAAAAAGCCGCUGCCCCUUCUCCAUCGAGCACUCCACCCAAGGCUUCGCCUUCUCCAUUGAGCACUCCACCGUCGGCUGCUCCUUCUCAGUCUCCCGCCGCAGGCUCUCCACCUUCUCCCCCAUCCGCUUCCCCUGAAUCUCCAGCGAUCCCUCCAUCUUCAGUCUCUGGACCGCCCUCUGAGGCUCCCGCACCCGCCACCAACGGCGCCGUUUUGAAUAGAUUCUCCGCCGCCGGAUCUGUGGCUGCUGUGGUUUUCGCUGCUGUCUUGGUUAUGUAGAGUGGGUUUUUUAAUUACG